AAGAGCAUUCCCAAUGGUAGGUUUUAAAUCACUUUUAGCCACUUUUAAGAAAAAACUCUUGCCAAUAGUGGGUUUUAACACACUUUUCAAGUAAAACACUUUUAUCUCCUUGGCAAAUUUGCCAAGGAGUUAAAAGUGCCACAUAGGAUCAUUUUAUUAAUUAAAAAUUAGAUUUCAUCACAAUGUACACUAUAUUUUUUUGGGGAAAAGUGAAACUAAGUUUAAACACUUAUUUUAAAACUAACCAUUGGUAACUCUAAAAGUACUAAUCACUUUUAACAUAAAUUAUUUGCUAAAACCUUUCCCCUCUCUCCUAUGUGGCACCCUUAAAACCCUUUUACUAUUGGGAAUGCUCUAAGGUCUCCAAGCUUGAAUUUCUCAAAUUCAACGUUGAAGAUGCAAGAGGUUGGUUAAGAAAAACUAGCUACUCGAGAUUUUCUAUUUAAUCCCAUUGUGAGUAAGCAAAUGGCAGUGUUUGCUUCUCUACAUCUCUAAGGUGGUGCAGAUAUAUGGUAUCAAUCUCAUUCAAGCAGUUUGGAUGUCAUGGGAUGGGAAGACUUCUAUGCUAUAAUAGUUACAAGGUUUUCUGAUGAAUCAUACAAAAAUAUAAUUGGUGAGUUUAACAAGCUGGCACAAACAUGUUUUGUAGUUGAUUAUCAAAGCAGGUUUGAAGAAUUACAAGCAUUGGUGUUAUUAUUAAAGAACAAGAAGUUAGAUGAAGAGUACUUAAGCUUCAUUAGUGGACUUAAGGAGAAGAUUAAACAUUCAGUCCAGAUGUUCAGGCCAAGGUCGUUGAUAUAAAUUACUAGGUAAAUAUACUAUUGAAUGUGGAAUUAAACAAUAGCAGUAAAUAAGAUGAACAAAACAUAAGAUCUGGAAGAAAAAUUUCUUUUUUAUUGAAUAUUAUGAAGAUUACAAGAAUCUCUGCCUCACAAUACUCUCUAGACAAGCUAAGCCUUAGUUGAUUCUCUUAUAAUUCUAAACAUACUAAACAUUAGUGGUUUCUCUAAACAAGCUAAAAUAAGUUAUGUUUGGUCUCUAUAUGUUUUGGUUUAUGCCAAAACAUCAAUAUUUAUAGGCUUUGGACAACUUGUAGUUAGCCAAGGAAAAGGAUUUUCUUUUUCUUAAAUAUCUUAUCCUUGGGUAUGGAACAACGAAAACUUUAAUAAAGAUCUUCCUUUACUUGUCCCACAAGGAAAAGGAAACUAAGUUCCUAAAAUAAGGAUACACCUGUAUCAUUGCUCCCCCUUUAGGAACUUAAACUCCCGUUUAAGUUACAAACAGAGAUUAGGAAACUUGAGAGCUCCCUCAUCUCUUUGUUGAACCAUUUAGCUUUACUUGGAACUUGACCAACACGCCCAAUACGAAACAUUAAUCGUCUCCCAUUUCGUGUCUUAGUCACCUUGAAUAUUUCCUCUUGAUCAACCCAAGGACAUGUCAUCAAGACAAACUUCCCACAAGCAUUUACUAACCUUUAACAUGUGUUGUCAUUACUAAGUCAAUUCCUUUUGGAGGUGGAAUUGCUUGAAUAACAAACUGUUCUCCAUUCGUAGUGAAUGUAUACUUCUUAGCCCUCCUAUCAAAAAAAGCAUACCUAUCCCAAAAGUAGAGAUUUCCUAGAACAACCUGACAAACAUCCAAUGAAACAACGUCACAUGUCACCUCGUCAAUAUAAGACUCACGAAGAGCAAACUUGAACGUGUAUUGAUGUUUCACACUCCCUACGUCCUUCUGAAUCCAUCCCAAUGGAUAAUUGAUAGAUGGUAAAUUAACUCCACCUAAACAAAAGAUUAUAUUUUUAUGAUUUUCCUUCUUAUGCCUGUAUAAAUUGGUUAUCAAAGUAGACAAGUAACAAGCAAGGGUCGUACCCACCUCAGAUGGGGAGAUCUUAGCUCAAACACAAUAGAAAAUAAUUGUUAAGAAACACCAAGGGAAUUAAUAAUAAGAAUUGAGAUUGAUUCUAACUUCCUACAGACAAUAAUGAAAUACACCCUAACUUAUAAGAAGAUGGUAGAGAUGUAAAGAAGAUUAAUGAUGACAAAGGGGGAAGAAUUGGUAUCCACAAACUAAAUCAUGCAAACAUAACAUGUUGUUCCUUCAUGUUCAAUAUAUAAUAAUUAAUUAGUCACCUCUCAACUAUUCAAAUUAAUCAUUAAUACCUAUAAUAAUCAAGUAGUCACCUCUCAGCUAUUCCACUCAAUUAAAACAAGAUUCUCUUAUGCAUGCUAUUGAAUAUGUCUUAUUAAUCAAACUGUCACCUCUCAGCUAUUCAAUUUAAUUAACUCAACAUAUUGAUUCAUAACUAAAUCAUCACCUCUCACCUAUUUGACUUAAUUACAAAAGGGUUCCAAUAAAAGAUAUCAACUGCAGAUAUGUAAUAAUCACCUCUCAGCUAUUUUAUUGCACAUCUUUAAUCAAUAUAAAUAAAACCAUUAAAGUUAGGUCUCCCUAAACCCUAACAAUAGUAUUUUAAUAAUAUGAAUAACAAUAACAUGCAAAUAAUCAUACUUACCUCAUAUCGCGAAUUAGAAGUAAAUAAGCAUUAAGUAUUUUGAAUCACAAAGAACAAUAAGAACAAACAUGGUGUUUUUGCAUCAUCUAGAGUGCUUCAACCAUCCCCCUAAGGAUAUUUACCUACUCAUCCUUGAUGAUGACACCAUGGAAUAAAUAAUAAAACAUCAUAAUGAAAAAGAUAAUGAAAUUGAUAUUGAAUAUUGAGUUUGAUAAAAAAGAAGAAGAAAAAGAAGAUGAACUUUUCUCUUCAAACUUCAAUUCAUAAAAAGCUACCUAAACCUUAGCUACUACUUCUCUUAUAUAGAAAAUACAAAGUAGAAUACUUGCAUGCAAAGACUUCCAAAUUAGGUCAAAUUCGUGGCUGCUGCUGUUGGUCUUCUAAAGGCAUUAGGUCUUCAGCAAAACCUAAUUCUCUUGGGCUUAUGUUGUAGCUUGGACCAAGACCUUCAGUUUGAUAGCUCAUGGGCCCAAAUCAGACUUCUGGAUCUCCUUGUAGAGCCUUUUUAAGAUUGGACUUUAAAUAAAACCCUAAAUAGAAAUUCUGACUUGUGGGCUCCAAUAGGACCCGGUUUGGGCUGAGAUUUGGACCGCCCCAUUUUGACAUAAAGUCAAGUCAACAGGACUGACCAUGGAGUGCCCUCAGCAGAUCUGUGGUGCAAAUAUCAAUUUUCCUUCUCUUGCACAAAUAACACCUUUUUGCUUGCUUUUCUUCACUUUUGGCGGGCUUUAAAACAAUAUUCGCAUUUCAGCUCAUAAAACCUACACAAUAGACAAGAAAACACUAAUCAAUAGAUAUAAUACAAUAAUAUAAGCUAAGGGACCAUUCGGCAACAACGUUGGAAUGCAUUUUCUAACUUUCUAAAAGGAAAGAAGUAGAAAGGAUGUUCGGCAAACCUUAAACAAGAAAAUAGAAAGUACUUUCCAUAAGUUGGGAAAAGAAUUUUUAAAGAAGUUUUCUAUAUUAGCUUUUUCUUUCUCCUUUCUCAUUUCUUCAACUGCUACUUUCCCGAAAAUUCCUUCCGAACUUCUCCUAAUUUGCCGAACGAGCCCUAAGUGCUAGACAAACAAGAUGUUAUUCGGGGAUAAAUAUACACUUUUGAGGAUUUAUCAAAUACUCCCAAACAACACUUUGCUUGUCCUCAAGCAAAGGUGAGAAGAAAAGAAUUAAGGACUCAAAAGAGAAGUAAAACUAAGGUGAUUGCAUUAACCAUAUGCAUCAAGACUUUCAACCACAAGGAUUUCCCCAACUGGAGGAGUUAUAGUCUCCUAAGGGUUUUCCAGAGAAGAUACCCACAAACUUACUACAAUGACUAAUCCAAAGAAUAGGAAUUUCUACCAUUUACCUCAGAAAUGGUCAUAUCAAGGAUAAGGAUAAGUAUUGCAAAACCGUUCAUAUGAGAUAGCAUAUUACAAAUGCAUGAAUAAGAUAUAAAAUAUAAACCAAGCAUAACGGUUUCAAAUGCAUUGAGGACAGGCAUGUACCCAUACUACCACGGGUCUCAAGUCACCAUUGGAAACGUCGCUUUGACUUCUGCCUCACAGACAUACACUCAGAAAUAAAGGUCACUCAGAGAUGGUGUUUAUCAUUUUACCUCUAUGUGAGGAAAGAAGUUGGACAAGCAUCUCACAUAUAUCAACAAAAACGGACUAGUGUAAUGGAGUGAACUUAGUCUCAAAGAAUGGAAAAAAUUAGCCUUGCUUGAGAUGUCGGGUUUUUCACCUCAGCACCUUCUCACUUACUCGCCACAUCCUACCAUAUCAUCUUAGAUCUACAAAAGACAAUAAUGGGUUGUAACUUGGCUUAGGAUAGGGCUAGAAAUGGAAAAGGUUUUUGUGAAAUAUUUUUGGAACAUUCGGGCCUUCAACACUUGUGAUUUGUAAUAACAUUACAUGGAGAAAUUUGGAAUUUUUCUUUUGGGAAGAAGUGUUUCUCAUCUUCUUUUGGGAAAAUUUCAAUGAAGCUCUAGCCAAUAUUUUAGAAUCUUCCAAUCUUUUUGGAUUUGAAAUAGUUUGGAAGAUUCUGGCUUUUUCUAGAAUUCUUCAAACUUUUUGAUUUUUAAUAUUUGGUUUAUCUCACUGGUUUGGAGAUUUCUUUUGUAUUUCUCAUUUCUUCUUGUAACCACAUAACAAUCAUCCUCAUGUUCCAAAAACAAUAGGUAAAAGGACCUAAACAUUCUACGGGUAUUAACUCCCACAAUGGAGUUGGGUAAGGUUAAUGGGCUCAAAAAAAAGGCUAAAGUAACAAGAAAGGCUCAGAAUGGUUAAUCUAAGGGAAACAUAUCAUCAGGGUAGGCUAAGGUAAACAAUGUUUAACUAAAUGUCUUUGUAUCAUUUCUAAGUACUGAUAUGGUAUCUUGAAUAAGCUACAAGACCCAAGUUUAUAUUACACCCACUUGAUGUCAUCUCAAGGCUAAUUAUAAAAAUGAAUAUGAGACUAAAAACAGAUAAAACUGAGAGGUUGAUUCUUUUGACUCCAGAUGUACGUAAUAUCUCUCCAAGAAAAGGACGCGGCUCAAAAGCUCGCUGGGUUAAGUCUCCACACUUAUUCCUCAAGUUUCUCAAGGUGUAGUUGUAUUUGCACAUGUAAUCUGUAAUAAAUGAAAGUGAAUGCCAUACUUAUGCUCAUGCAAAUGUAGUAUAAGACUCAACUACUUGGUGAAGCAAUAAAUGUCCUUAAACUUGAAAAAGAUAGAAUUCAACCAUUAUAUUCAUCAUUGAUGGUGUACUUAUCCUAUUUUUUUUGAAAAAGUUUGUAACAAAGAUUUUGGUUGAUUUUUUUAAAAUUUUAAAUUUUUACAUAAGUAUGAAUAAAGAAGUUUGAAAAUCAUUUGCAAAAAGGAUUGUAAUACUUCCCCACCCCUAAACAAGAAGAUUACCUUGUCCUCAAGGCUCAUACUAACCAUAGGAGAGAGAGAAAGAAAGAUAUUACCAUGAAUGUACUAAAAAUUCAAACCACUUUAUAAAUUCCUGCCAAUCAAAAUUAUCUCCACAUAGAUAGAGAUUACAGGGAAUUCCAUACUACGACACAACUGAAAUAAAAUAUACUGAAAUAAGGGACUGACUCAACAGAAAGGGAAAUCCUACUUUACACUCUUGGUUUCAAACUUCUUCCAUUGGCAAACCAUCCAACCUAUCGCGCCACUCAACUAAUCCCUCUUUAAUCACAUUCCAAGGACCCUCACCCUCAUUCAUAAAAUUAUCGUUUCUAUGCAAAGCAGGAAGCUCUACAUAUUCAGUGUUAGGUACUCAAGUGAAUAGGCGACUUCUGAUAAAACGAUGAGUUGGAUCCACAGGGAUGAGAUGAGUCAAAUCAUUGUACCUGUUCCUCCACUCAGGAUAGCUUUCAAGAAUAAUCUUACAGAUAGCAGUAUGGAAAACAAGCUUAUCCUCACCGAAUACGAGGACAUUCCUAAUACCAUCUAAAUCCAAGUGGAUAAGUCAAGAGCAUAAAAAUUUGUAACAAUACCAACGACGACAUGCAUAGUACUAUCAUUGACAUAAUCCAUCUUCUCAACACCCAAUAAAUUACGCAAAACCCAUAAAACAGCAGUAGCUACAUUAGCAGGAAGGCAAGUGGUAGGUGCAAUACUAGGGUAUCCUUCGGGGUGGAAGGAGAAGGUACAAGGGCCAAAGUGAUUAAGAUAAUUGUCUAUGAUGUCUACACGGUUAUCACGAACAUAAUUGUCAUAGGGCACGACUGGUUGAAAGACAAAAAGAUUAGCCAUGGCAAUAGAGACGACAAUAGCAUUAAAAACCACCGAGGAACCAUGCAUGUGAACUUGGAAACCAUCAAAAGGAAGAGGGUCGGCAAAACGUAACAUAAGGUAAAAGUCUCUUACCAUAGAAGGGGAAUACACAACAGUAGAAUCAUAAAGAAAACAUUCCCAAUCUUUGUCAAAAAUCCCAUCCCGAAAAGACGCUCCAUAAGGACUAUCCAUAAUUCCUGAAAAAUCCAUCUCGGGGAUGAUAUCCAUGCCAUCGGGCAUCCACAACCCAUUCUGAACAUUAGCUUGCAAAAGAAAAGAGAAAACACCAAAAAUCAAUGCGAAAACCGAGAAAAAACCACACAAAAUGAACUCAGAAAACUGCUGCCAGACUAGAACUCGACUCGAGUUUUAAUAACCCUACCUGGAACUCGACUCGAGAUCGGGUAGGUUCCAGAAAAUAAAAAAAUUGAAAAAGAGUUUCUGAAUUUUGAGUGACGGUCCCCCAACCCGUUUGGUAUAUAUAGGCCAAAAUGAAAAAGAUUAAGCCCUAAUAGGACACCAAAAAUUUCUAAAACCUUAGGGUAUCCAAAUAAUCAAACCCUAAUCUUUUUUUUUUUUUUAAUAUUUGGACUUAGGUCCCUAGGAACAAAAAAUUUCAAAAUAAGUCCACAAGUCCAGAUUUUUGCAAUAAAGCCCAAGAAUGGCUAAAAAUUUCAGAAAAAGACACAAGUUGCAAAAAAAUUUAAAUCUAAACCAUUUUCAUUAAUAUUUGGAAAUAAAGUACAAUGAUUAAAGUCUAAAUACAAGAGUGCAAAAAGUAAACAAAAUACAAAAAAAAAAAAAAUAGAAACUAAAACUACAAUGGCUAGUAACUAAAACUCCCAACCACGUCGUCGACGAGGCUGCCCUUGGCCUUCAUCAAAGCGACGCUGCAAGUCCUCGACCGCAUCCAUGAUCUCGCCCAUAUCCCUCCAGAGAAGCUGGAACCGCUCCUCGUUGGUAUGGAGCUGGUGAAUUGCCCAUUGGUCGUCGGGCCUGUACUGAAUGGGCACCUCCUCCUGAGGGUCCCACAACAACUGUCUGCAAGCAGACAAUCCCGGGUUGGAGACCUCGAGGCGAACGACCGACUCCAGAGAAAGAGCAGGAAGAAGAGGCGCCUCCCAGUAGCGCAGGAUACUCAUCACCAGGCUUGGAAGGGGUGCAGAAGUGGCUCGAGCGCCGGUGAUGGUAGCGAAAAGACGGCGGACAAUACAGUAGCCGUGGAGCUCCUCCUGAAGAAGUUGCAGGAUAUGGAUACCUUCCGAGAACAGCUCGCUCGUCCUCGUCGUCCCAAGGACAUUGGUGGUCAGCCAGUGUGCCACCAAGCCCUGGUUAACUCGGACGCAACCGAUCGAAAUGUGACUGCUAUACCGGUGAACCGCCCGGUCAUCGACGAGGACAGUGUAACGCCCCGGGAUUUCGUCGAGCACCAUACUGCUCGCUAAUGUCAAUAUUGUCCCCCUUUAGUCACUGCGGAUAUCCAUCAGUAGAGGGUUUUGGAUCAGGGCCCACCCAUGUGGUUCACCCCAAAAGGCCUUGACAUUAGUUAGAGUAUGGUUAAGCUCUAUAUACUACCAAUACAACCACUUCCUUGGCAAUGUGGGACUAACACCAACUCAUGGGUGUUACAAUCUCACCACCUUAGAAAUAGAGCCGUCCUCGGCUCUGCGUUACACUCAGUACAAUCCCAAAAUCUCCGACGUUACCUGCCAAGUGAGACAAGUACUUGGCGCUCCCUGGGCCUUUCCAGCAUACUUCCCACCUGCAACAGGCGACCCGUCGUCGGCUCUGAUACCAACUGUAACGCCCCGGGAUUUUGUCCUCGCUCAUCCCGGUGCGUCGAGCACCAUACUGCUCGCUAAUGUCAAUAUUGUCCCCAUUUAGUCACUGCGGAUAUCCAGCAGUAGAGGGUUUUGGAUCAGGGCCCACCCAUGUGGUUUACCCCAAAAGGCCUUGACAUUAGUUAGAGUAUGGUUAAGCUCUAUAUACUACCAAUACAACCACUUCCUUGGCAAUGUGGGACUAACACCAACUCAUGGGUGUUACAAUCUCACCACCUUAGAAAUAGAGCCGUCCUCGGCUCUGCAGUACACUCAGUACAGUCCCAAAAUCUCCUACGUUCCCUGCCAUGUGAGACAAGUACCUGGCGCUCCCUGGGCUUUUCCAGCGUACUUCCCACCUACAACAGGCGACCCGUCGUCGGCUCUGAUACCAUCUGUAAUGCCCCGGGAUUUCGUCCUCGCUCAUCCCGGUGCGUCGAGCACCAUACCGCUUGCUAAUGUCAAUAUUGUCCCCCUUUAGUCACUGCGGAUAUCCAGCAGUAGAGGGUUUUGGAUCAGGGCCCACCCAUGUGGUUCACCCCAAAAGGCCUUGACAUUAGUUAAAGUAUGGUAAGCUCUAUAUACUACCAAUACAACCACUUCCUUGGCAAUGUGGGACUAACACCAACUCAUGGGUGUUACAGACAGCCUCGAUGAUGUCCGGGGUCACCAGUGCAGCCUCCUGCUGUAGAAGGGCCUCAUCAAGCUCGAGCGCCGUGACUAAGGAGACUCUCAGGCGUGAGCAAGAAGCGAUGGGUCGGAUCCCAGUUGAUGAAAACGCCGUCAUCGGUCAACUCCAUUGACUCGUAAAAUCGAUGAACCAUUUGAGGGUCAAAUGGCUCGUGAUCAGAGCUAAGGAGUACAUCCCAACCUCGGGCGUGAAUUAUCUCCACAAACCCACUCCCAAAGCGAUUAUCGUCGAAGAGAUGAGAAUAAUCGCGUUCACGAAUGAUCACUCUAGAUCUAACUCUAGGAGGCAUGAUUCUCGGAGAUUUUGGUAUGGAAUUGAAGGGAUUUGAACAAGGAACAAAACCCCGAAAUGUUUUUCAAAUUUGGACAAGAAUUGAUCGAGAUACGAAGAGAGAGAAACUGGAUCUGUUGCGAAACUCGAGUCGAGUUCUGUUUACACAGUACUGAUCUCGAGUCGAGUUCUGGAGGAGAUAAGACUUUCUGUUGACUUGGUUUGACCCGGUUUUGACUAAGAAUGAAAGUGAGUCAAUAAAAUUCCAAAAACCAAGCAAUAAUUAUUAAAAUCCUAAAAAUUGAAAAAAAUUCAAAUUUGUAACCGUAAUAGUUAUUUAACCAACAAGCCACAAUAGAGAGGGGUGGGCCACGGCGUGGCCCACCCCCAAAUAGAAAUAACACGCAGAUCUGAAAGAAAUUGUUAUUAGCCAAAAAACAACUAAACCCGGCAACAAAUAAGAAGCAAAAAUGCACGAUCGGGCUUAGAAGAUACACAGGGCUGCCUCUCAGGAGCGCUAAGUUUAACGUCUUCAGCUAGACAGGCGGACAACCAGGAUUCACUCUCUAGAUAAACAAAGAUACAGGAGAGAUAAAACGCUAAAGUGGAAUGCGCGAAAUCCUGAUGUCUAAUAUACAACAAAGAGUAUUUUAAAGUCAGAUACUCGAGACUUAAAAGAAGAUGGGAAAUUACUUCUCCACCCCCAAACAAAGCGGGAAACAGGUCUAUUUGGUGAUGACGCUCAAGAGAAAAACGUGCACUGGAGAAAAACGUGCACUGGAUCAAUUAUACUUAGCCAGUAAGAGUUUGUGGACUAUGGCUCCGGCACUUUCAACCACACCUCUGAAAAAGAGACAACAGAAUAGAGUAAGAGAGGGUCCGGAUACCAACAGGUCAAGGUUCAGUCUAAAUAGGUAGGGUCCUCUAAGAGAGUUUCUUCAACUUCAGGGGACCUUAAUUCAUGGAAAUGCUUAAGACGUUGACCAUUGACUUGAAAUUCAGAAUUGUCUGCAGGGUUUAAAAAUGUACCAUAAGGCGUCACUGCAGACACAUCAAAGGGACCCGACCAACGAGACUGUAGUUUAACAGGAAAUAAAUACAACCUAGAGUUGUACAGUAAAACUUUGUCCCCAAUUUGAAAAUCUCUACGUAAGAUAUGACGAUCAUGUAGUUUUUUCAUGUUAGCAUUAUAGGACUUGAAAAGAUCAUAAACUUCAUUCUGAAGUUCCUCAAGCUCAGAAAGUUGGAGUUUUCUCCUCUUACCUGCCUGGUCGAUAUUAAAGUUGAGCUUUGUCAUUGCCCAGAAGGCUCGGUGCUCAAGCUCUACAGGUAGGUGACAGGGUUUUCCAAAUACAAGACGAAAGGGAGACAUGCUUAUGGGAGUUUUAAAAGUAGUACGAUAGGCCCAUAAUGCAUCACUGACUCUACGAGACCAAUCAACCUUUUCAGGGUCAAUUGUUUUUUGCAAAAUGUUUUUAAUCUCUCUAUUGGAAACCUCAGCUUGGCCAUUGGUUUGCGGAUGGUACGCAAGGGCCACUUUGUGAGUAACUCCGUACUUUUGGACAAGUUUUUGAAAAGCUUUAUUGCAGAAAUGGCUCCCCCAUCACUAAUGAUCGCACGAGGAGCGCCAAAUCGGGCAAAUAUGUACUCUUUGAUAAAAUAUACAACAGUUUCUUGGUCGUUGUGCCUUGUGGGAAUGGCCUCGAUCCAUUUAGAAACAUAGUCUACUGCGACCAGAAUGUACAAAAAACCAUGACAACCAGGAAAAGGGCCCAUGAAAUCUAUGCCCCAUACAUCAAACACUUCCACAGGAAGGAUUGGCUGUAAGGGCAUCAUGUGUCGCCUAGUGAUUUUCCCUAGUUGUUGACAAUGAAUGCAGACAGUACAAUGCAUGUGAGUGUCCUUAAAAAGAGUCGGCCAAUAAAAACCACACUGCAAUACUUUAGCAGCUGUCUUCUUGGCACUAAAGUGUCCACCACAAGCAUGUUCAUGGCAGAAUUUAAGGACCUCUUGUUGCUCCCAGUCGGGAAUCCAACGACGAAUGAUCUGGUCAGGACAGUACUUAAAAAGGUAAGGGUCAUCCCAUAAAUAAUGCUUGGCAUUAGCAAGGAAUUUGGAUCUAUCUUGCUUGUUCUAAUUACUUGGAAACUUGUUGCUAGCCAAGUAAUUAAUUAACUAUAUCUGCGAACCAUGGAGCAUUCGAUAUUGCAAAAAGAAGUUCAUCAGGAAAGUUCUCAGAAAUGACACUAGAAUCCUCAGGAUGGUCGAGUCUAGACAAGUGGUCGACUACUACAUUUUUGGUCCCUUUUUUAUCUCUAAUUUCAAGGUCAAAUUCUUGAAGCAACAAAAUCCAACAAAAUCUCUAAUAGCAGCAUGAUCCGUGAGGAUGACAGUACAGGUACCUAAAAGGUAGGAACAAAACUUAUCAAGAGCAUAUACUAUGGCUAACAAUUCUUUCUCCGUCGUGGUAUAAUUACGUUGAGCAUCAUUGAGAGUCUUGCUAGCAUAAUAUAUCACAUGGGGCUUACCAUCUAGACGUUGACCUAAAAUAGCCCCAACAACAAAGUCUGAUGCAUCGCACAUCAGCUCAAAGGGUUUACUCCAAUCAGGUGGCCUCAUGAUGGGUGCAGUGGUGAGGGCGGUCUUAAGAUUUUCAAAGGCACUCUUGCAUUCUUUUGUGAAAUCAAAAGGAGCAUCCUUAAGCAAUAAAUUGGUUAAGGAGCGAGCUAUCUUUGAAAAAUCUUGGAUAAAGCGUCGAUAGAAUCCUGCAUGGCCUAGAAAGGCUCGAAUAUCCCUAAUAGACUUAGGAAUAGGCAAGGAUGAAACAAGAUCUACUUUAGCUUUAUAAAACUGGAUACCCUCAGAAGAGACUACAUGACCAAGAACUAUCCCCUUCCUAACCAUAAAAUGUCACUUUUCCCAGUUAAGUACCAAAUUCUUCUCAAUGCAACACUUAAAAACCGAGGAAAGAUGACUAAGACACUCUUCAAAAGAUGAACCAUAUAUGGAGAAGUCAUCCAUAAACACCUCUAUAAAUCGUUCUACCUUAUCACUAAAGAUGUGUAACAUACACCUCUGGAAAGUAGUAGGUGCAUUACACAGACCAAAAGGCAUACAGGCAUAAGGGAAAGUGCCAAAGGGACAAGUAAAUGUUGUCUUCUCUUGAUCUUCAGGGGCGAUGGGGAUUUGAUUGUAACCGGAGUAACCAUCCAAGAAACAAUAGAAGGAAUGACCAGUCAGACGUUCCAACAUCUGGUCUAUGAAGGGAAGAGGAAGUGGUCCUUCCGGGUGAGUGUAUUAAGCUUUCUAUAGUCGAUACAAACACGCCACUUGGUUGGAACUCUAGUGGCGACUUGUUCAUUCUUAUCAUUGGUAACUACAGUCAUGCCGGCCUUUUUAGGAACCACAUGAAUAUAAUAGGACAACUUCUUUCAUCACAGGGUUAAGACGUCUCUGAGGUUUACGAGAAGUUUUAGCAUCGUCCUCAAGAUGAAUACGAUGAGAACAAAAAGAAGGGCUAAUGCCUUUAAUGUCAUGGAUAGACCAGGCAAUAGCAGAACGAUGCUCUAAGAUAAAUUCUAACAGCUGACUCUCCUGUUUGGUAGUAAGAGAUGAAGAAAUAAUAACAGGAUGACUAUCGUCCGAAUCAAGAUGACCAUAUUUUAGCUCAGGAGGAAGAGGAUUCAGAGUAACAGGAGGUGUAGUGAUGGUCUCUACUUGGGUCUCAGAAUCUAUGCCAUAAACCGAAUCAAGGGCCUCAGGGUCUUUAGGUUCAAAGAUAGGCACAGUAUCAAGAAAAACAUUGGUUUGGGCAAUAGAUUGGUCAAUGUCAAAGUCUAAAUUAUGCAUGGCAAGGCAGUGAACAACCGGAUCUUCAGGGUAAUAAUUAUGCACCAUCUCAUAAGGUAAUGAGUCUAGAAAGCACACAUCUUCAGAUAAGGAAAGAUCAGGGGGUUGUUGGCCAAGGUUAAAUAUAUUAACUUCAACAGUCAUAGAGCCAAAAGUGAGAACCAUAGAACCGUUCCGGCAGUUUAUGAGAGCAUUAGUGGUGGCAAAAAAUGGACGGCCAAGGAUGAUGGGUACCGAGUCAUCGGCAGUAGGUUCAAUAUCCAACACCACAAAGUCGACAGGGUAGUAAAAGUCAGACACUUUAACUAGUAGGUCCUCAACUACACCUCUAGAUACUUUCAAUGAUCUGUCGGCCAGUUGUAAAGAUAUUUUUGUGGGUUUCAUGUUUGUUAGAGUCAGGCUGAGGUACAAGGAGUAAGGCAAAAGAUUAACACUCGCUCCUAAGUCUAGCAAAGCUUUUCCCAUGAACUUGUCACCUAGCUUGCACGGUAUGGUCGGUUUUCCAGAGUCCUUAUAUUUUACCACGCCGUUAUGUUGGACAAGUGCAGAGAAUUCCUCUCCCACAAACACGUUUUUAGACACAUUUGUUUUUCUCUUGGCGGUGCACAAGUCCUUCAAAACCUUGGCAUAGGAAGGUAUCUGUAUAAUAGCCGUGAGGAAGGGUAUGUUAAUAUUAAUAUGUUUGAACACAUCAACUACUUCCUCUGCUUAGACUUCCUUCAGAGACCUUGUGAGUCUCUGGGGGUAAGGUACAGACGGGUUGUAAGUUCGUGGAGGAUCCACAAUCUCACGGGCUGUCUUCUUCGGCUUAGAGGUGGUCGCCUCAUUAGCCGGAGCAUUAGGUGGGGCAACAGGUGCAGAGGUAACCGGGGUCACAAUGGUAGGACUCGGUGUAUAAUUAAUUUGAUUAUCAACCCAUUUUCCUGACCUAAGGGUGGAAACCGAUUUUACUUCAGCAGGCGGUACAGACGGAGAUGGAGUUUCCGUCACCAAGACAACUUCCUUGCCUUUGGGGUCGGGAUGGACUGUCCCGGAAAUCUACCUUUUUCAUCAAGUUAUUGUUCAAUCCUCUGGAUGGCUUGGGCAUUUGAUUCAAUGGACGCUUGGGUCUGUUGAAUGAAACGGGCAAGCACAUCCUCAAGGGAGGUCUUAGGAGGGGCAGAUUGAUUAGUUAGCAUAUGGUCCCUGGAACUAUUCAUGGUAUGAGCAUUGUUCAAGUAAGGGGGGACCGGUGCCCUGUUCCGAUUAUCAGUGUUACCAACAUACGUGGCAUUGCUACGUUGUCCAUAAGAGUUAUUAAAAGCUGCUGGAGCCGCAUGAUAAUUAUUAGAAUAAGACAGAUUGGAACGGUCCAUGUAUGGGUACGUGGCAUUGCCCUUAGUAAAGUUGGUUCUCCCGGCGUAGUUAAAUGCACAUGCUUCCUCAGUUUCUGGUGAAUUAUAAAGGAGAGGGUAGAAUUCGGCAGUAUGGGUCUGGUCAUGACAAACAUCACAUUGGAGAGUGGAGGCACUCAUAACAGGUGAUGUGGGUUUUAAGGACACGCCAAGUGCUUAUACAUGUUUUACUAAACCAUGAAGUAAAGUUUUAAGCUCAGAGUCAGGUUUGACUUCAUAUAUACCUCUAGGUUUAUCAAAUGAGUAUGGGGUAGUGUUUCUCGAGGUAUGUCCAGGUAUGCGAUAAGUCCUCAAAAGUGUAUAUUUAUCCCCCGAAUAACACCUUGUUUGUCUAGCACUUAGCUUAUAUUAUUGUGUUAUAUCUAUUGAUUACUGCUUUCUUGUCUAUUGUGUAGGUUUUAUGAGCCGAAAUGCGAAUAUUGUGUUAAAGCCCGCAAAAAGUCAAGAAAAGCAAGUUAAAAGGUGUGAUUUGCACAAGAGAAGGAGAAUUGAUAUUUGCACCCACAGAUCUACUGAAGGCACCCACGGUCAGACCAGUUGACAUGACUUUAUGUCAAAGUGGGGCGGUCCAAAUCUCAGCCCAAAUCGGGUCCUAUUGGAGCCCACAAGUCAGAAUUUCUAUUUAGGGAUUUAUUUAAAGUCCAAACUUAAAAAAGCUCUACAAGGAUAUCCAAGUCUGAUUUGGGCCCAUGAGCUAUCAAACUGAAGGUCUUGGUCCAAGCUACAACUUAAGCCCAAGAGAAUUAGGUUUUGCUGAAGACCUAAUACCUCAAGAAGACCAACAGCAGCAACCACGAAUUUGAUCUAAUUUAGAAGUCUUUGCAUGCAAGUAUUCUACUUUGUAUUUUCUAUAUAAGAGAAGUAGUAGCUAAGGUUUAGGUAGCUUUUUAUGAAUGGAAGAUUGAGGAGACAAGUUCAUCUUCUUCUUCUUCCUUUGUAUCUGUAUUAACCUAUUUCUAGAUUAAUGCACUGCUGGGUCAGGUCGCUGGGAAGACUUGACCAAAUGGGGAUGUUUGAGAUCGGGGUGGCUGCACCUCGUUGAGAUCGAGAUUGCCUACGUACUCUAGCUCGGGGGAAUUGAACUUAGAGAUCAAGCCAUCAUAGUUCUGUUUAUAUAGAAGAUAGAAGGGCGUGGAUCGUGGAUCUUGCAGAUUCUCCGCCAUCAUAAUGAGGAAUAAAUGAGUAACGCGCGCGGAUUAUCCCUGUGAAUUAAUUAUGUAACUGAUGAGAAUAUUCUGUGCAUUGAAUGAGAGCACGUGUGUAUAGUAGGUCGCUGCUCGUUGUUUGGUCAGGUCGCUUUGGUCGAGCUGCUAGCAGGUAGAGACCGUGGCGACCUGAUGGAUGGAUGAUUGUGCCACGUGGCUGCUUUUGAUUGGUCGAAGUAUGUAGUACCCCUACAUAAGCCCCCUCUUUUUAGGUCAGCUGUAGUAGUCGGGCUGAAAAGACUAAGAACUCUGAUCGAUGCUGAUUUGUAGUUUGCUUUUUUGAAUCCGCGGAUGUGGCAGUCAUGCAGGCCUGUCUGUACUAAUCAUGGCGCUUUUACGGGGAAGUGGAUGAUUUUCCUCAAGCAGUUAUCGGUGUAGUUAUUGCAACUGACGCACGUAUUGCUUGAUUUAAUAUCUGUCUUGCACGUGGACUGAUCCAACGGUGGAUACAAACCGUUUUGUGAGUGGAGAAUAACUGCAGUGCAUAUUGAUCCUUUGUUCGAUCUCAGCCGUUCGUUUGUUUUGAACCGAUGGCUGGAAAUGCUUGAGCUACAGUAUAUAAACUGUAGUUACCUUGAGAAGGGUUUACCUAUCUUGCCUUUACUUGAGUUGCUGCCGCUUUUCAGUUGCGAUCUGAAGAACUUUGAGAGUUCGUGAGGUUUGUUUUCUCUUCUUGUUAUUUCUUUGAUCUUCUGUUUUGUUUUCUUUCACCUUCUGUUUUCUUGUAUAUUGGUUGAGAGGAAUGUCUGACGCUAGUGACUCUCAAAAUGAUCACUUGAGUGGUGGUGGUGAUGAGGAGAUUGAGUCUGAGGGUACUCGAUCUGACACUCCGUCUCCCGUUCGUGAUGAAGAGGUAGAUAGUCCUCAGAGUAGUGGUUCUCAUGGGGUAGACUCUUCUGAUGAUGAAUUGGUGGAGGGAGACGGUGGUGUAAUGUGUAGGGUUGUAAAUAUGAACUAUGUAAAUAGGCAUAUCGUAGUUAGGAAAAUGUAUGGGUUUAGGUAGAUUAGGCAUUUGGAGAUUAGAUUUCUAGUAGAUCGUUUACUUUCCCCUGAGUAUCGACCUAAUAACCCUUUCUCAACUGUUUUUACUUUGCCCCAAUUCCGUGCUGGGUUGAGGUUGCCAUUGUCUCGAUUGGUGGUCGACCUGUUGAAUGCCAUUAGUCGAGCCCCCUGCCAGAUGAAUGGUAAUUUCUGGCGGAAUAUGAGGGUAAUUGACGACCUCAACAAGUUGCAUAGGUGGAACAUUACAGUGAAAGAUGUACUGAACCACUUCAGCUUCAAACGCUCCUCGAAGGUUGAACUCUCAGGCUAUAACAUGCAAGUUAGGCCAGACCGUUUGCCAUUAAUCUAUCCAGUAAGUAGCGAGCCAUGGUGGAAAGAUCCCAUGCUGCUUACUGGGUCGAUUGUUGAAGGGGAUAUCCAGUUGCGUCAUACGAUUAGGAAUGACGCUCGUAAGUUUGUUGUCUGUAGUACUAGGAUUGUUGAUUUGUCUUCCUGUUUCUGAACUUGACGUCUUUGUAUUUUUUGUUGCAGCGAUCCGGGACGAUCAUUUGAUUAGAAAAAACGAUCUGAAAUCUGCUCUGAACAGCUUUGGUAAGUUGAGCGACGAGCGGAAGAUCUCGUUUCUACCCCACCUAAAGGAGCAUUUUAUUCCUAAAGGUGGUCCAAAAACUGUUUGGGACGAGCUCGAGAGGAGGAAAGCUUUGAAGAAAGCAUAUAUGUCUUCUGUUCACAAAUCUGCAGGUGGGCGAUCUGGUAGUAGCUUGCGAGCUGAUGAAAGCGAACGGGCUAGUGGUGGUUCGAGGCAGGGGGAGAGGGAGCGUUCUGUUGGUGCUCCUCUGAGGUCGGGAAAGAGUCGACCUGUUGACAAGGAUCGACCUCUGGUGCAGGAACGAUCUGUGGAGAGGGAGCUACCUGUGGAAAGGGAGCGCUCUGCUGGUAGUUCUCGCCAGGUUGAAGCAAUGGCGAGCCCUCCAGUCUCCGGUCCUCCCGCCUCACUUCCUAAAGUAGGUGCCUUGGCUGGGAAGAAGAGGUCCUUCGCAGGGAACCUUAAGCUAAUGGAGUUCCCAGCUAUGCCAGCCCCUGUUUCUUCAACGCCUUUGACGUCUCCUGGGAUGUCGGCUUUGUCCAGGAAGACUGCUCCUCGGCCUUUGCAGAAAGGCAAAGGUACUUUGUCUGAAUUCCGCCCCGGGCCAUUCGAUUAUUUGGAUGGUCAAGGAGAGAAGCAUGUCGUUUAUGAUAAUGACAGUGCUAUUGAUGACCCUUGCGUUGCCCGGGCUGUGAAUGAGGGUAUCGUCCUGGACGCUGAUGCUCGAGCAGUGAAGUCGCAGCCUUUGUUGGUGACCUGCUCGAAGAUAAAUGCGGCGCUGUCUUUGGUGAGUGUGAGCAUAAGUCGUAUUUGUCUUGUUUAUACUUUGACAUUUGGUCUAAAUUCUGUUGUUGGUUGCAGCUCAAUGCCAGCUUCCAGGAGGUGCGUUUGGUUGCUGAGAUUGGUGCUCAAGCUAAAAUUGAGUUGAAGGCGCUCAACGAGAAGCUCGAGCAGACGAAGAACAUUGCUGUCGUUGCUGAGUGCAAGGUUAAGGACAGGGAUGCCCAGGUUGCUUCGCUGAAGGAGACGGUGGAGCAAUUAAAGGAACGUAAUGCUGCUUCUCAAUCUUCUGCUGAGUAUUGGCAGAGGGUAUGUCAGGAGAAUGAAGCGGCGUGGAAGACCUACUGCGACCAACUGGUGAAAGCUAUGACGGGGUCGCCCGAAGGAGAGGAGACGUGAGGUGGUGUUGAGGGUACCUUGGCGCCAGCUCAGGAUGCCUCGAUGGGCCCUAGUGACCAGGUCGCUGGAGUCCUUGUUGAAGUUGAUGCUUCAGGCGAUCAGUCUACGCAGCAGUAAGCUGGCCUUUGUGUCCCUUUUCUUGUAUUGGGUAACCUUGUGCAAAGCUUGCUUCUUGCACUCCUUGUUCUUGCAGUAUGUCUUCUUGUACUCCUUGUACUUGGCACAGCUUCCAGAGCGCAUUCUUGAGAGCCCCCUUGUAAUUUUGAGAGCUUGAGUGGAUAAUUCUUUGUCUUUUGUAUUUUACCAUUGGUAGUCAGUUUUUACUUUAACGAGCUUGAAGUUCUUCUGAGCAGCUAGUUUCCAGGGAGUCCUGGUAGCUCGUUCAGAAGGCAGGUAGACGAGAUGAAUGGCUGCAAGCAGGACGUACUGAAACAGUUCCUCUUGUAUGCCGUAACUCUAUUUUCCUUGUACCUGUAAUUGUUAGAACCUUAUCAAGUAAAAAGUUAAUUCAACGAUUUACCUUGCAUUGUUGUUCAUGUCGUUUUGUCUGCUUGAAUGGGAUUUGCAAACAAUAAAUAACAUUUGCUCGACCUGCUGGGGUUUGAGGUCGCAUACUAUAUAGUUGUGCUUGGGUCGUGGGAAGAGAAUGACCAAUGCACCAAGUUAAGUUGCUAGUGAUUUAACUUAACAAACUUUUAAAUUAUCAAAGGGACUAGAGUUUUGAUAAUUUGUAGGUCGAGGGAUUGGACCUUUAGUAGCCAUUCAUGUUUGAGCAGAGAUGAAGGCAAAAGUGAAUUUAUACAUUGAAAUGCAAUGAAUGGAUGCUUACAUUUCAUUGAUAAAAUUUCUUUAAGUGAAAAACAUUCCAUGGGUUCUUAACGAUCUCCCCUUCUGGUGUUUGAAGACGUACGAGGAGUUGUUCUAUAGGCCCACAGGAUGUUUUCCAAUUGCUGUGGCCAUUGAUCAUGCUGGUCUUCGAGCUUCUUCUUCAAAUUGUUUAGAAUCUGUCGAUUUGCAGCUUCGACCUGGCCGUUGGCUUGCGGGUAUCUAGGAGUUGACCUUGAAUGCUCGAUUUUCCACAGUUCGUAGAAUUUUUUUAUAUUCUUGCCAACGAACUGAGUGCCAUUAUCUGUGACUACUCGUUUUGGUAGUUCAAACCUUGUGAUGAUGUUUUCCCACAUGAAUCUUUGGACAUCUGCUUGUGUUACGUUGGUUAGUGCAACAACUUCUACCCAUUUAGUGAAAUAGUCGACGGCCACUAGAACGAACCUCUUCUCAGACUUCUUUUCUUUGAUUAGGGGCCCCAUGAUAUCGAGCCCCCACAUGUGGAAUGGCCAUGGUGCAGUGAUGUUAAUGAGAUCAUUCGGAUGCUGGUGUUGCCUAUCAGCAAAUCGCUGGCAUUCUUUGCACUUCAAAACAAAUUUCUUUGCAUCUUCCUUCAUUCUUGGCCAGAAGUAUCCCUGAGAGAUUGCUUUAUGGGCUAAGGUACGACCACCGGAAUGGUUUCCACAUUCACCUUCAUGGAUUUCUUGAAAUAUCAUCUGGCCUUGCUUUGGAAUCAGGCAUCGUAAUAACAAUCCAAUUGCAGAUUUUCUGAAAAGUUUGCCCUCAUGGAUUUUGUACAUCGUGACUUUAUGCAGCAAUCGACUGGCUUCCUUUUUGUCGGAUGGCAGGACACCAGUUUGAAGGUAAACCAUGAAAGGCUCCAUCCAGGUCCCCUGGAUGUCUGCUGGAGUUGUUUCUAGUAGGUCGGAGAUUUGAUGAACAUCCUCUUCCUUGAAGAGAUAUGCGGGCUGUGAGUUGAUUGUUAUAGUUAGGGCCCGCGGUCUGUCUGACUCGAUCUUAGAUGCUAGAAAUGCCAAUGAAUCAGCAUGUCUGUUGUCGUCUCUAGGUAUGUGCUCAAUUGUGAAAUAGUUGAGCUUGCUGAUGAGCUCCUUUGCUUUGCUUGCAUACCUGAUUAGGUUGACCCCAUUGAUCUGGUAGUUGUUAGUGAUCUGAUUGACUACCAGUUGGGAAUCGCAGGCCCUUCAUCACUUGACGAGCUCUACCUGAAGGUAGAUCGUUAUAUAAAGCUUGAAGAAGCCCUCACUGGGAGGGAGAAGAACCACGUAGUCAGCAACAUUGAGUCUGGCUCAACCAAGCGACCUCGAUCAGACGGAAAGAGGUUCAAAGCAAAGUCGCUGCCUACCGAGCAGCGAGAGUAUCACCGGUUUACGCGACCAGCCGGUUAUAUCUAUGAGAGGAUCAAGCACAACCAUUGGUGCAAGAUUCCUGCCUUCACACAGUUGGAGGAUACAUCCGGUCGCCCGUACUGCAAAGUCCAUAAAGUACGGUGCCAUCAGACUGAUGACUGUCGCGUUCUGAAACGCGCACUGCAAACAUGGGCCGAUGAGAAAAGGCUCAACAAUUGGAUCCUCGGAAGGAAUGAGGAAUCCACAGGCAAGCGGGUGAGGAAGGAGUCCAGAACGCCUCCCCGUUCCACAAAAAGAAAUCACAGCAAGGCCAGAACGGCCUCAGCAAGUCCAGCACGCAGCAGAGGGCGUAGCCUCUCCCAGCGUUUAGGUCCAACAGGCGACCUACGCGACCACAUCAACAAGAAGGUCGCAAACAAAGUUGACAGUGACAGCGAGUCGGACAGUCAUGUAGUUUACAUGAUUGACGAAUCUCAACACACACCUGUCUCACGUGACAAGAAGAGACGAGUAGAACAUCUUCACCAUGUCUACUCCAUCACCGGCCGAGCAGCCCGUUUCAACAUCCCUGCCCGCCAAGAGACUGAUAUCACUUUUACUGAGGACGAUCUCAACAAGGUCGUUACUCCUCACAAUGACGCCCUUGUCGUUGAGCUGCGGAUUGCAGAUUAUACUAUCAAGAGGGUAUUCAUCGACCCUGGGGCAUCAUGCAACAUUCUCAUGUACAGAACCUUCAAGGACAUGAGGCUGCCCGACUCAGUGCUCAUCCCAGAUUUUACACCCAUCCUUGGCUUCAAUAGUUCAAGGGAAGACCCUAAGGGUGAAAUUCUUUUGCCCGUCACUGUAGGCAGAAGGGAAGACAAGGUCGUUGUAACCAGCAAGUUCAGCGUCCUCAAUAUCGCAAGCAAGUACAAUGCGAUUCUGGGUCGAAAGUGGAUCCAUGCUAUGAGAGGUGUGCCGUCAACUUAUCAUCAAGUAUUCCGCUAUCCUGGCCCUUAUGGGAUAAUGGAACUUCGCGGCAAUCAGAACACCGCACAGGAAUGCCACGGCAUUAUUGAAGCUGUUCCAUCGUCAAAGCCAUCCACCUCUGGAAGCAAGGAUGCUGACAACAAAGGAAAGAGCCCGAUCACAAUAGAGGCUCAGGAGGGCAACAACAAGUCAAAGAGCCCAUCCAAGGAAAAGGCUGAACCUGCUAAAUAGCAAUUACAGAAGGAGCAAGCGAGCUCCCCCAAGCUUAGUCUCGGAAGCACCGAUCCAGGCGUGCGUGUGAACAUUGGGUCAGAUGAGGACCCAAGAUAUGUCUAUGUAGGUUCAGAAUUGGAAGAAGAUAAGUUCGUCAAUUUUGUAAAUUUUCUUUCAAAUAAUAAAGAUGUUUUUGCUUGGUCGUAUAUCGAUAUGCCCGGAAUAGAUCCAUCAAUUGCAUGCCAUAAGCUACGGGUCAAUCCCAAUUAUCGACCUGUCAAGCAGAAACCAAGGAGACUCGCUCCCAAAUUCCAUGAAGCUGUCAAUGAAGAGAUCAAUAGACUCAAACAGGUCGGCUUCAUCAGAGAAGUCGAUACUCCAGACUGGCUAGCAAACAUAGUACCAGUCUUAAAGAAGAAUGGAAAAACAAGAGUUUGCAUCGACUUUACAAGUUUGAACAAAGCUUGUCCUAAAGAUUCAUUCCCACUGCCACGAAUCGAUAGGCUAGUCGAUCAGACAUGCGGUUUUGAGCUACUGUCAUUCAUGGACGCAUACUCAGGGUAUAACCAGAUCCCAAUGUACGAGCCUGACCAAGAGAAGACCUCUUUCACAACAGAGCAGGGUAUUUUCUGCUACAAGGUUAUGCCAUUCGGGUUAAGGAAUGCAGGUGCGACCUAUCAAAGACUGGUCACCAGAAUGUUCGACGACCUCCUAGGUCGAACAAUGGAAGUCUACGUUGACGACAUGCUAGUAAAGAGUGACAAAAAACGAGAUCAUUUGUACAAUCUCGACCAGGCGUUUCAAAGGUUAAGACAGUACAGAAUGCGUCUUAAUCCAGAAAAGUGUUUAUUCGGGGUUGCGUCAGGAAAAUUCCUUGGCUACCUAGUCACCAGACGAGGCAUUGAAGCAAAUCCCGAUCAGAUCAGAGCCCUGAUCGACAUGCCAAGCCCAAAAACAAAGAAACAAAUCCAGAAACUCAACGGCAUGGUGUCAGCUCUGAACAGAUUCAUCUCCAGAGCAUCAGAUAAGUGCAGACCAAUGCUUCAUAUCCUAAAGAAGGGGGCUACAUAUGAGUGGACAGAAGAAUGUGAGAAAGCCUUCAACGAUCUCAAGGCAUAUUUGUCUACUCCACCAGUUCUCACAAGGCCCAACGAUGGAGAUGUACUUGGCGUUUACCUUGCAACAUCAGAUUUUGCGAUCAGUGCAGUUCUUUUUAAAGAAGAAAAUCAGGUCGAACGACCUAUCUAUUUCACAAGCAAAGUCUUACAGCAGGCCGAAAUAAGGUACACACCUCUAGAGAAGUUAGCAUUUGCUUUACUUUACGCUGCAUGCAAGUUCAAACCUUAUUUCCAAGCCCACACAGUAAAAGUAAUCACCGAUCAGCCAUUACGCCACAUACUAGAAAAGAAAAACAAAACAGGUCGUAUGGCUCGAUGGGCAGCAGAACUGGGUGAUUACACAUUUGAGUUCGUAUCACGGCAGGCCGUCAAGGGCCAGGUCGUCGCAGACUUCUUAGUAGACUAUCCAGCAGAGGAUGUCAAUUGGGAACCAGAACCUGAAACAAGGCAAAUCCAAGACAAUCCUCCAGACACAUGGCAGCUGUAUGUAGAUGGUUCCCACAAUUCCAAUGGAAGUGGUAUAGGUGUUGUGUUAAUCUCUCCUGAGGGUUCACAGCUCGAGAGAUCAGCUCGUCUAGACUUCUCGACCUCCAACAACGAGGCCGAGUAUGAAGCACUCAUCCAGGGCCUACAGAUGGUCGUCGAGCUACAAGCAAUUCGUCUCAAGGUGUACAGCGAUUCCCAACUGGUAGUCAAUCAGAUCACUAACAACUACCAGAUCAAUGGGGUCAACCUAAUCAGGUUUGCAAGCAAAGCAAAGGAGCUCAUCAGCAAGCUCAACUAUUUCACAAUUGAGCACAUACCUAGAGACGACAACAGACAUGCUGAUUCAUUGGCAUUUCUAGCAUCUAAGAUCGAGUCAGACAGACUGCGGGCCCUAACUAUAGCAAUCAACUCACAGCCCAUAUCUCUUCAAGGAAGAGGAUGUUCAUCAAAUCUCCGACCUACUAGAAACAACUCCAGCAGACAUCCAGGGGACCUGGAUGGAGCCUUUCAUGGUUUACCUUCAAACUGGUGUCCUGCCAUCCGACAAAAAGGAAGCCAGUCGAUUGCUGCAUAAAGUCACGAUGUACAAAAUCCAUGAGGGCAAACUUUUCAGAAAAUCUGCAACUGGAUUGUUAUUACGAUGCCUGAUUCCAAAGCAAGGCCAGAUGAUAUUUCAAGAAAUCCAUGAAGGUGAAUGUGGAAACCAUUCCGGUGGUCGUACCUUAGCCCAUAAAGCAAUCUCUCAGGGAUACUUCUGGCCAAGAAUGAAGGAAGAUGCAAAGAAAUUUGUUUUGAAGUGCAAAGAAUGCCAGCGAUUUGCUGAUAGGCAACACCAGCAUCCGAAUGAUCUCAUUAACAUCACUGCACCAUGGCCAUUCCACAUGUGGGGGCUCGAUAUCAUGGGGCCCCUAAUCAAAGAAAAGAAGUCUGAGAAGAGGUUCGUUCUAGUGGCCGUCGACUAUUUCACUAAAUGGGUAGAAGUUGUUGCACUAACCAACGUAACACAAGCAGAUGUCCAAAGAUUCAUGUGGGAAAACAUCAUCACAAGGUUUGGACUACCAAAACGAGUAGUCACAGAUAAUGGCACUCAGUUCGUUGGCAAGAAUAUAAAAAAAUUCUACAAGCUGUGGAAAAUCGAGCAUUCACGGUCAACUCCUAGAUACCCGCAAGCCAACGGCCAGGUCGAAGCUGCAAAUCGACAGAUUCUAAACAAUUUGAAGAAGAAGCUCGAAGACCAGCAUGAUCAAUGGCCACAGCAAUUGGAAAACAUCCUGUGGGCCUAUAGAACAACUCCUCGUACGUCCACUGGGAUGUCACCUUUCAGUCUAUGCUACGGAGUUGAGGCAGUUAUUCCCACCGAGCUAACAUUUGGAACGACCAAAUCACUUCUGGUCGACACUGAGCUCAACAAUCAAGCCUGGUCGUUCGGAGUCGACCUCCUCGAAGAACGAUGUAACCACGCCGCUAUAAAGCUCGAGCAAUACCAACAGAGACUCAAGCGAGCUUAUAACAAAGGCGUGCGACCAAGAACUUUCCAGCCAGGGGAACUAGUCCUAAGGAAAAUGUUCCACAACAAAAGAAAGGACAUGAUUGGCAAACUGAACGCCAAUUGGGAAGGUCCUUACAUUAUCACAAAGGUCCAGAGCAACGGUUCUUAUCGUCUUCAAACACCAGAAGGGGAGAUCGUUAAGAACCCAUGGAAUGCUUUUCACUUAAAGAAAUUUUAUCAAUGAAAUGUAAGCAUCCAUUCAUUGCAUUUCAAUGUAUAAAUUCACUUUUGCCUUCAUCUCUGCUCAAACAUGAAUGGCUACUAAAGGUCCAAUCCCUCGACCUACAAAUUAUCAAAACUCUAGUCCCUUUGAUAAUUUAAAAGUUUGUUAAGUUAAAUCACUAGCAACUUAACUUGGUGCAUUGGUCAUUCUCUUCCCACGACCCAAGCACAACUAUAUAGUAUGCGACCUCAAACCCCAGCAGGUCGAGCAAAUGUUAUUUAUUGUUUGCAAAUCCCAUUCAAGCAGACAAAACGACAUGAACAACAAUGCAAGGUAAAUCGUUGAAUUAACUUUUUACUUGAUAAGGUUCUAACAAUUACAGGUACAAGGAAAAUAGAGUUACGGCAUACAAGAGGAACUGUUUCAGUACGUCCUGCUUGCAGCCAUUCAUCUCGUCUACCUGCCUUCUGAACGAGCUACCAGGACUCCCUGGAAACUAGCUGCUCAGAAGAACUUCAAGAUCGUUAAAGUAAAAACUGACUACCAAUGGUAAAAUACAAAAGACAAAGAAUUAUCCACUCAAGCUCUCAAAAUUACAAGGGGGCUCUCAAGAAUGCGCUCUGGAAGCUGUGCCAAGUACAAGGAGUACAAGAAGACAUACUGCAAGAACAAGGAGUGCAAGAAGCAAGCUUUGCACAAGGUUACCCAAUACAAGAAAAGGGACACAAAGGCCAGCUUACUGCUGCGUAGACUGAUCGCCUGAAGCAUCAACUUCAACAAGGACUCCAGCGACCUGGUCACUAGGGCCCAUCGAGGCGUCCUGAGCUGGCGCCAAGGUACCCUCAAUGUCCGUCGGUUCGGUCGGCAUUUACUCGGUUUUCGGUCGAAACUUGGAAAUGGACGAAACUUACUUGUUUUGGAAUCUAUACAUUCUAAGGGUAUUUACUCCUACAAUGGAGUUGGGUAAGGAUAAUGGGCUCAAGAAAAAAGGAUAAGUAACAAAAAAGGCUCAGAAUGGUCAACCUAAGGGAUAAUGUAUCAUUAGGGUAGGCUAAGGUAAACAAGGUUUAUCUAAAUGUCUUCGUAUCAUCUCUAAGUACUGAUAUGGUGAUCAUAUCUUGAAUAAGCUACAAGUCCCAAGUUUAUAUUACACCCACUUGAUGUCAUCUCAAGGGUAACUAUAAAAAUGAAUAUGAGACUAAAAACAGACAAAACUGAGAGGUUGAGUCUUUUGACUUCAGAUGUACGUAAUAACUCUCCAAGAAAAAGACGGGGCUCAAAAGCUCACUAGGUUAAGUCUCCACACUUAUUCCUCAAGUUUCUCAAGGUGUAGUUGUAUUUGCACAUGUAAUCUGUAAUAAAUGCAGAUGAAUGCCAUGCUCAUGCUCAUGCAAAUGUAGUAUAAAACUCAACUACUUGGUGAAGCAAUAAAUGUCCUUAAACUUGAAAAGAAGAGAAUUCGACCAUUAUAUUCAUCAUUGAUGGUGUACUUAUCAUAUUUUUGGAAAAUUCUUUGUAACAAAGAUUUUUGUUUAUUUUUCAAAAAAAUUGAAUUUUUACACAAGUAUGGAUAAUGAAGUUUGAAAAUCAUUUGCAAAAAGGAUUGUAAUACUUCCCCACCCCCAAACAAAAAGAUUGCCUUGUCCUCAAGGCUCAUACUAAGCAUAGGAGAGAGAAUAAGAAGGAUAUUACCAUGAAUGCACUAAAAAUUCAAACCGCUUUAUAAAUUCCUGUCAAACAAAAUUAUCUCCACAUACAAAGAGAUUACAAGGAAUUUCAUACUAAGACACAACUGAAUUAAAAUGUACUGAAAUAAAGGACUCAUUCAACAGAGAGGGAAGUCCUAUUUUAAAACAAUGCAUUUUGUAACCGUAAUAAGCAUCAACCAGUCAAAUGGCAAAGAGAGUGGGUGGGCCGGUUGCGCCCACCCCUAAACAAAACUGAGCACAGAUGGUAAAACAAGCGGUUUAACAGUCAAAAUGCAACUAAACCCGACAAUAAAACGAGAAGCAAUAAAGCACAAUCGGGCUUAGAAGAUAAACAGGGUUGCCUUCCAGGAGCGCUAAGUUUAACGUCUUCAGCCAGAAAGGAUGACAAACAUGAUUCACUCCCUAGAUAAACGUUACUCUAAACAAAGAUACAUGAGUGAUAAAACGCUAGAGUGGAAUGCGCGAGAUCUUGAUGUCUAAGAUACAACAAAGAGUCUUUUAAAGUUAGAUACUCGAGACUUAAAGGAAGAUGGGAAAUGACUUCCCCACCCCCAAACAGAGCGAAAAAUAGGUCUGUUUGGUGGUGACGCUCAAGAGAAAAGCGUGUACUGGAUCAAUUAUACUCAGCCAGUAAGAGUUUGUGGACUAACGGUCCCGACACUUUCAACCACACCUCUCAAAAGAGACAACAGAAUAGAGUAAGAGAGGGUCCGGAUACCAGCAGGUCAAAGGUCAGUCUAAAUAAGUUUCAGGAGGUCUUAACUCGUGGAAAUGCUUAAGACAUCGACAUUGAUUUUAAAUUCAGAACCGUCUGCAGGAUUAACACAUGUAAUAGCACCAUAAGGAGCUACUGUAGACACAACAAAGGGGCCUGACCAACGAGACAUAAGUUUGCCAGAAAAUAAAUGCAAACGAGGAUUAUAAAGCAAAACUUUGUCUCCAAUUUAAAAAUAAAGCUGAUUUUUUUUGUUUGGUAGUAAGAGAUGAAGAGAUGAUAACUGGAUGACUACCGUUUGAAUCUAAUUGGGCACAUUUCAGCUCGGGAGGAAGAGGAUCAGGAGAUGGAGGGAUGGUCUCGACUUGGAACUUAUAAUCAAUGCAACAAACCGAAUCAAGAGCCUCAGGGUCUUUGGGGUCAAAGAUAGGCACAAAAUUAAAAUGAGCAUUGGUUUGGGCAAUAGAUUGGUCGAUGUCGAAGUCAACAUUAUGCAUGGUAGGGCAAUUAACAACCAGAUCUUUAGGGUAACAACUAGGUACCAUCUCAUAGGGUAGAGAAUCGAGAAGGCACACCUCUUUAGAUAAAGAAAGAUCAUGGGGUUGUUGGCCAAGAUUAAAGAUAUUAACUUCAACGGUCCUAGAUCCAAAAGUGAGAACCAUAGAACCAUUUCGGCAGUUUAUGAGAGCAUUAGAGGUGGCCAAAAAUGGACGGCCAAGGAUGAUGGGAACCGAGUUAUCGACAGUAGGUUCAGUAUCCAACACCACAAAGUCAACAGGAUAGUAAAAGUCGGACACUUUGACUAAUAGAUUCUCAACUAUUCCUCUAGGUACUUUCAAUGAUCUGUCGGCCAGUUGUAAAGACAUGUUCGUGGGUUUCAUGUAUGUUAGACCCAGGCUGAGGUACAAGGAGUAAGGCAAGAGAUUAACACUCGCUCCCAGGUCUAACAAAGCUCUACCUAUGAACUUAUCACCAAGCUUGCAGGGUAUGGUCGGUUUUCCAGGGUCUUUAUAUUUUACCACACCGUUGUGUUGGACAAGUGCAGAGAAUUCUUCCGCCACAAACGCGUUUUUAGGCACAUUUGUUUUCCUCUUAGCGGUACACAAGUCCUUCAAAACCUUAACAACAUAGGAAGGUAUCUUUUUAAUAGCCGUGAGGAAAGGUAUAUUAAUAUUUAUAUGUUUAAACACAUCAAUUACCUCCUCUGCUUGUACUUCCUGUAGGGACCUAGUAAGUGUCUGGGGGUAAGGCACGGGUGGGUCAUAAGGCAGUGGAGAGUCCACAAUCUUACGGGUAUGUAUCCUUGGCUUAGAGGUCUGCCUCAUUAGCCGGACCUUUAGGUGGGGCAACAGGUAUAGAGGUAACCGGUGUCACAAUGUUAGGACUUGGUUUAUAAUGAAUCUGAUUAUCAACCUGUUUACCUGACCUAAGUGUGGAGACCGAGUUAACUUCAGCAAGCGGUGCAGACGGAGAUGGAGUUUCCGUUACCAAGACAGGUCCUUUUACCCAUUGUUUUUGGAACAUGAGGAUGAUUGUUUAUGUGGUUACAAGAAGAAUGGAGAAAAACAAAUAAAUCUCCCAACUAGUGAGAUAAACCAAAUAUUGAAAAUCAAAAAGUUUGAAAAAAUUCCAGAAAAAGCCAGAAUCUUCCCAAAACCAUUUCAAAUCCAAAAAGAAAAGGAAGAUUCCAAAAUAUUGGCCAGAACUUCAUUGAAAUUUUCCCAAAGAAGAUGAGAAACACUUCUUCCCAAAAGAAAAAUUCCCAAAAUAUUUCACAAAAGCCUUUUUUCCAUUUCUAGCCCUGUCCUAAGCUAAGUUACAACCUAUUACUGUCUUUUGUAGAUUUAAGCUGAUAUAGUAGGAUGUGGCGAGUAAGUGAGAAGGUGCUGAGGUGAAAAACCCGACAUCUCAAGCAAUUCUAAUUUUUCCAUUUUUUUAGACUAAGUUCAUUCCAUUACAUCAGUCUUCUUCGAUAUAUGUGAGAUGAUUGUCCAUCUUCUUUCCUCACAUAGAGGUAAAAUGAUAAACACCAUCUCUGAGUGACUUUUAUUUCUGAGUGUAUGUAUGUCUGUGAGGCAGAAGUCAAAGCGACCUUUCCAAAGGUGACUUAAGACCCGUGGUAGUAUGGGUACAUGUCUGUCUUCAAUGCAUUUGAGACCGUUAUGCUUGGUUUAUAUUUCAUAUUUUAUUCAUGCAUUUAUAGUAUGUUAUCUCAUAUGAACUGUUUUGCAAUACUUAUCCUUAUCCUUGAUAUGACCAUUUCUGAGGUAAAUGGUAGAAAUUCAUAUUCUUUGGAUUAAUCAUUGUAGUAAGUUUGUGGGUAUCUUCUCUGGAAAACCCUCAGGAGACUAUAACUCCUCCACUUGGGAAAUCCUUGUGGUUGAAAUCCUUGAUGCAUAUGGUUAAUACAAUCACCUUAGUUUUACUUCUCUUUUGAGUCCUUAAUUCUUUUCUUCUCACAUUUGCUUGAGGACAAGCAAAGUGUUGUUUGGGGGUAUUUGAUAAUUCCUCAAAAGUGUAUAUUUAUCCCCCGAAUAACACCUUGUUUGUCUAGCACUUAGCUUAUAUUAUUGUGUUAUAUUUAUUGAUUAGUGCUUUCUUGUCUAUUGUGUAGGUUUUAUGAGCCGAAAUGCGAAUAUUGUGUUAAAGCCCGCAAAAAGUCAAGAAAACCAAGCAAAAAUGUGUUAUUUGCACAAAAGAAGGAGAAUUGAUAUUUGCACCCACAGAUCUGCUGAGGGCACCCCACGGUUAGACCAGUUGACUUGACUUUAUGUCAAACUGGGGCGGUCCAAAUCUCAACCCAAACCGGAUUCUAUUGGAGCCCACAAGUCAGAAUUUCUAUUUAGGGCUUUAUUUAAAGUCCAAACUUAAUAAGGCUCUACAAGAAGAUCUAGAAGUCUAAUUUGGGCCCAUGAGCUAUCAACCUGAAGGUCUUGAUCCAAGCUAUAACUUAAGCCCAAGAUAAUUAGGUUUUUCUGAAGACCUAAUACCUCUAUAAGAGAAGUAGUAGCUAAGGUUUAGGUAGCUUUUUAUGAAUGGAAGAUUGAGGAGACAAGUUCAUCUUCUUCUUCUUCCUUUGUAUCAAACUCAAUUCAUAUCAAUCAAAUCAAAUCAUUUUUCUUUAUGAUAUUUUGUUAUUUAAUUAUUUAUUCCAUGGUGUCAUCAUCAAGGAUGAGUAGCUAAAUCUCCUUAGGGGGAUGGUUGAAGCACUCUAUAUAAUGCGAAAGCACCAUGUUUGUUCUUAAUGUUCAUUGUGAUUCAAAGUACUUAAUGAUUAUUUACUUCUAUCUGCAGUAUGAGGUAAGUAUGAUUAUUUGCAUGUUAUUGUUAUCCAUGUUGUUAAAACACUAUUGUUAGGCUUUCGGGAAACCUAGCUUUAAUGGUUUUAUUUAUAUUGAUUGAAGAUGUGUAGUAAAAUAGCUGAGAGGUGAUUAUUACAUAUCUGCAGUUGAUAUCUUUUAUUGGAACCCUUUUGUAAUUAAGUCAAAUAGCUUAGAGGUGAUGAUUUAGUUAUGAAUAAAUAUGUUGAGUUAAUUAAAUUGAAUAGCUGAGAGGUGACGGUUUGAUUAAUGAGACAUAUUCAAUAGCAUGCAUAAGAGAAUCCCGUUUUAAUUGAGUGAGAUAAAUGAGAGGUGACUACUUGAUUAUUAUAGGUAUUAAUGAUUAAUUGGAAUAGCUGAGAGGUGACUAAUUAAUUGUUAUAGAUUGAACAUGAAGGAACAACAUGUUAUGUUUGUAUGAUUUAGUUUGUGGAUACCAAUUCUUUCCUCUUUGUCAUCAUAAAUCUUCUUUUCAUCUCUACCAUAUUCUUAAGUUAGGGUUUAUUUAAUUAUUUCUUGUAGGAAGUUAGAAUCAAUCUCAAUUCUUAUUAUUGAUUCUCUUAGUGUUUCUUAACAAUUGUUUUCUAUUGUGUUUGAGUUAAGAUCUCCCCCUCUGAGGUGGGUACGACCUUUGCUUGUUACUUGUCUACUUUGAUAACCAAUUUAUACAGGCACAAGAAGAAACUUCAAUAAAAAUAUAAUCUUUUGAUUAGAGGUUACACAAAUAGCCUCUAUCAAUAUGUUCCACUGCUGGCUAUUAGUAGCAAUCUUUUCAAGGAAAGCCAGAGCCUUGGUGGUGGAAUAAUCAAGGAAAUAUCCACCGCUCAUGCUCUCAACCGUGUUUCUAGUUAGAGUAUUAAGGCCUCUAUAUAGAAUCCUAACUUUUUUAGUGUCAUCGACUUUGCGGUGUGGACACCGAAGAAAUAGGUCUUGAAACCUUUCCCAUGCAACAAAGAAUACCUCGCCCUCUUUCUGCUGGAAACUUCUUAUGGCAUCAACUAUGUCAUUAGUUCUGGUAAUAGGAAAGAAUUUGGUCAAAAUCAUUUUACUUAGUUGAGCCCAGGUGUCAAUAGAAUUAGAAGGAAGGACAUGUAACCAGUGAGAUGCUCUAUCCUCAAGAGAAAAGGGAAAAUCUCAAGUUAACUUCCUCCUCAAACAAAUGUUUCACCUUGAAUGUAUUAAGAACAGUCAGAAACUUAUUGAGGUGCUGAUAUGGAUCUUCCCGUGGAAGUCCAUGGAACUUAGGCAGUAUCCCCACAAUUUGUGGGCGAAUGCCAUAGCUAUCUGCAGUUGUCUCGGGUAAGACUAUGCAUGUAGGUGGCCCAGUGGCCAAAGGUUAAAAGUAAUCCCGAAGGGUAGCUUCUUGACCCAUAAGUGCAGGAGUUACUUCAGAAGGUGAAGUUCAGUCGUUGAACUCUUCUUCAGAAGGUAUGGAGGUUGAGUCGUUAAACUCUUCCUCGGGAGGAGUAGUGAGGUCCGUGAUUGUGCUCUUUGUGUAGAUUGGAAUAGGUUUGGACAAGAUUUUACCUGAUCUAAGAUGCAUGCAACAUGCGCAUUACAAAUGCCACAGAAGUCCUAACCAUUCAAAAGCAUCUAACAAGGGACUCAAAAACUGACUCACUUUUGUGUUCACCCAAGUCAAUGAGUUCUUUCCAAGCUUCCCUUGUGAAUUCUCCCUAUAUUUCGAGAGUCAAUAGCAGCGAAUAACAGGGGUGGGAGCUUUUCCAUGAGUAAGCAACGUUUCUUAAUUAAUUAAAUAACCACAGUGAUUCUACAGACGUAAUCUAUAGGGGUUCCAGACCCAAUUCCUAACUUGUGCUCCAAUCAAAGAAUGGUUCACGCAGUACUAGUUGAAAUAUCUGCUCAAUGUCUCAAAUGAACAUCGUGAUAACAUGGCUUUAGUUGAUUCAGUUUUAAGGCUUAGGAUAUUGCAAUCAAUUGAUAUUAGGUUUCACUUUUAAGUCAGGUCCGCCUUGCAAUCCCGGUUUAACAAGUAAAAACAGAAUUAAAAUCAAUCAACAAUCAAGGUCAUGCUAAUUAAUACAGAAACUCCUCUUGCAGGGGAUUCGAGGAGGGUUAGGAGAAUGCUUACCUCCCACUUUGUGCUAAAUAGUAAAAAAAUGCCAAACAAGCGCACAAAAGUGGGGAGAAGACGAGUUGAAGUCGACUAAGGGGAAACUGCUCCUUGGGUUUCAAUCGUCCUUAGGAGUCGUUCCUUAGUAAACUCAAGGCUAGCUCCACAACCUUGUUCUACUAUCCGCCGUGAGCACACAAAAAAUAAAUCCUAUCAACACCUACUUUAAAUAUUACAACCGCGACCCCUUCGUGGAUCGAAUAAUUAAAUAUCUUACAAGUCUCUAAAAAUGCUGGAAAAAAUUAAACUACUUAGUUCACCUCACAAUCACUCAACAAGAAAAAAAAAUUCUUAAAAAAGUGCUCUGGAACAUUCUGGAAAAUUCACGCAAAACGAGACAAUUCCCUGCCUGGAACUCAACUCAGGAGCGGGUUCAAUUUGAACCAGUAAUUUUUCAGGAAAAAUCCUAAAUGCGCGAUCUUCUUAAAAAGUCGAUUUUGACUCCGUUGUUCGAGCUUUUUUCAAACCGUCUUUGCUGCAAGAUCAAUAAGAGGACUAAGUAACAAGACACCUAAAAACAAUAAAUAAAAGAAAUACAAAUAGAAGGGUGGGAGGGAUAAAAGUGGGAUGAUAUCCCGAAACUACUAUUCUUGCUUGUGUUUGAAUGAACUUCGUUCCUUAGAGCGGCAAUGGCGCUAUUUUGAUAGAUGGUAAAUUAACACAACCUAAACAAAAGAUUAUAUUUUUAUGAUUUUCCUUCUUGUGCCUGUAUAAAUUGGUUAUCAAAGUAGACAAGUAACAAGCAAGGGUCGUACCCACCUCAGAGGGGGAGAUCUUUGCUCAAACACAAUAGAAAACAAUUGCUAAGAAAUACCAAGGGAAUCAAUAAUAAGAAUUGAGAUUGAUUCUAACUUCCUACAUGCAAUAAUUAAAUUAACCCUAAUUUAUAAGAAGAUGGUAGAGAUGUAAAGAAGAUUAAUGAUGACAAAGGGAGAAGAAUUGGUAUCCACAAACUAAAUCAUACAAACAUAACAUGUUGUUCCUUCAUGUUCAAUCUAUAACAAUCAAUUAGUCACCUCUCAGCUAUUCCAAUUAAUCAUUAAUACCUAUAAUAAUCAAGUAGUCACCUCUCAGCUAUUCCACUCAAUUAAAACGGGAUUCUCUUAUGCAUGCUAUUGAAUAUGUCUUAUUAAUCAAACUGUCACCUCUCAGCAAUUCAAUUUAAUUAACUCAACAUAUUGAUUCAUAACUAAAUCAUCACCUCUUAGCUAUUUGACUUAAUUACAAAAGGGUUCCAAUAAAAGAUAUCAACUGCAGAUAUGUAAUAAUCACCUCUCAGUUAUUUUACUACACAUCUUUAAUCAAUAUAAAUAAAACCAUUAAAGCUAGGUCUCCCUAAACCCUAACAAUAGUAUUUUAACAACAUGGAUAAUAAUAACAUGCAAAUAAUCAUACUUACCUCAUAUCGCGAAUUAGAAGUAAAUAAGCAUUAAGUAUUUUAAAUCAAAAAGAACAAUAAGAACAAACAUGGGGCUUUUGCAUCAUCUAGAGUGCUUCAACCAUCCCCCUAAGGAGAUUUAGCUACUCAUCCUUGAUGAUGACACCAUGGAAGAAAUAAAUAAAUAACAAAACAUCAUAAUGGAAAAGAUAAUGGAAUUGAUAUUUAAUAUUGAGUUUGAUACAAAAGAAAAAGAAGAAGAUGAAUUUUUCUCUUCAAACUUCAAUUCAUAAAAAGCUACCUAGACCUUAGCUACUACUUCUCUUGUAUAGAAAAUACAAAGUAGAAUACUUGCAUGCAAAGACUUCCAAAUUAGGUCAAAUUCGUGGCUGCUGCUGUUGGUCUUCUAGAGGCAUUAGGUCUUCAGCAAAACCUAAUUAUCUUGACCUUAUGUUUUAGCUUGGACCAAGACCUUCAGGUUGAUAGCUCAUGGGCCUAAAUCAGACUUCUGGAUCUCCUUGUAGAGCCUUUUUAAGAUUGGACUUUAAAUAAAGCCCUAAAUAGAAAUUCUGACUUGUGGGCUCCAAUAGGACUCGGUUUGGGCUGAGAUUUGGACCGCCCCACUUUGACAUAAAUUCAAGUCAACAUGACUGACUGUAGGGUGCCCUCAGUAGAUCUGUGGUGCAAAUAUCAAUUCUCCUUCUCUUGCGCAAAUAACACAUUUUUGCUUGUUUUUCUUAACUUUUGGCGUGCUUUAACACAAUAUUCGCAUUUCGGCUCAUAAAACCUACACAAUAGACAAGAAAGCACUAAUCAAUAGAUAUAACACAAUAAUAUAAGCUAAGUGCUAGACAAACAAGAUGUUAUUCGGGAGAUAAAUAUACACUUUUGAGGACUUAUCAAUAAUGCUUAGGACGUUUCAAGGUUUUCAAACCAAGCUUCUGAACCAAAGCUUUUGAAAUCAGAUUUUUUUUUUACUUCCUGGAUCUACAAUAGCGUCCACCAAACUGGUCUUCACCUGUAACUUAAUACAAAAGAGUUGCUCUAUGGGGUCAUAUUCUUCUACCAAUGUAAAAUUCUCUGCCAUUAUGUUGAGCUUGAUGUUAGGCUCCGUCAUCCCUGGUACUUCCUUUGGACCUUGUGCGACUAAAGCUGCAGUCUUUUCUCCUUUUUUUCUCCUUCAACCCUUUUGGUUUGAGAUGUGGAUACUUCUCCCAGCAUUUGUGCGUCGCAUGUCCCGUUGAUUUACAAUGACUACAAAUCAAUGUUUCUUUCCCAUUAGACUCACAUUUUCCCUUCCUUUUAACAUCAUCAUGUUUGCUAAUAUAACCAUUAGAUUUACCACCAGAUUAUUUACAUCUCCUUCUGUAUUGUUCUUCAACUUGCCUUCAAUGGCAAUAGCUUUCACAUUAGCUUCUGGAAUAGAUUGUAUUGUAAACAACUUCAACUCCUUCCGAAUAUACUCACUCAAACCUGCCAUACACUUCAUGUAUGUGGAGUAAUCCUUUAGAUUAAUAUCCAAAACCAUUGUUUGAUUUUGAAAUUCGGUUGUGUACUCUUGGACGAAUUGAUUGUAUCUCUGACGUAAGUUGUACCACUUCUGCCAUCUCUCUUCCAGAAAUCCCACUGGAUAAAAUUGCUUCUUAAGUAACUCCUUGAACUUCCUCCACGACACUGCCCCUUUAUGAUCACGAUACUUGCAAUAACAUUUCCACCAAGUUAAUGCAUGACUCGACAGCUUCAAAGUCGCAAAGAUAAUUUUCUCCUUCGACGAAUAACCAUAAAGAGUAAAAUAUGUCUCUAGACGUUCAAUCCAAUCGUUUAAUUUUUCCACAUCAACACUCCCAUCAUACAUAGGAAUCUCAACUUUGAAAUCAAUUUUCAGAUUUUGAAAAUAAUUGUUACCUCCUUGAUGUGAAGUGUUAAUGUUAUCGACCUCUUCGUCUUUGUCUGUUUCUCCUUCCUCAUCUUCAUCAUCAUUCGAGUCAUCUUGCUUAGAAAACAAACUCUUCUUCUUUUUUUCGGGUUUUUCUUCUCCCCUUCUUUGAUGAUGAAAUCGGUUGGCUUUGACAAAGUAGAUUUCAUUGUCUGCAUCUGGAUCUGAAACAAAGCCAUUGUUUCUUCUGUACUAAGUUUCUGCUGUGGAGUAGGUAUCUCUUCCUCCUCUAAAUUCUUCGGAUCUGUUUUCACCAUCUUAUUUUUUCUUGUCUUCAUAGAAUAUUCUAAAGACUCAAGAACUUUACCUAGCUUUUUGUACUGCGAACGAGUUAAGACCAUAAACCAUAGAACUCUACCAGGGAAUCAAACUUUGCUCUUGAUACCAACUUGAUACAAUUACUAGGCAAAUAUACUCUUGAAUGCGGAAUUAAAUAAUAACAGUAAAUAAGGUGAACAAAACACAAGAUCUCGAAGACAAGUAUCUUCUUUAUUGAAUAUUAUGAAGAUUACAAGAAUCUCUGCCUCACAAUACUCUCUAGACAAGCUAAGCCCAAGUUGCAUCUCUUAUAAUUCUAAACACACUAAACCUUAGUGGUUUCUUUAAACAAGCUAAAAUAAGCUUUAUGGUUUAUGCCAAAACAUUAAUAUUUAUAGGGUUUUGACAACUUGUAGUUAGCCAUGGAAAAAGAUUUUUUUUUUCUCUAAAUUUCUUAUCCUUGUGUAACAAGGAAAACUCUAAUAAAGAUCUUCAUUUGUCCCACAAGGAAAAGGAAACUAAGUUCCUAAAAUACAGAUACACUUGUCUCAGCCGUUGUCAUGUGUUAUUGAAUUAGCAGUAUUUUGGGCCCAAGGACCAGAUAUUAGCUAGUUUCAUAGGGGUUCAGGACAACAUAAACCUUUGUUUAGGUUUUAGGACAAAUUGACGUAAUGACUAAUAUACCCUUAUUCUAUAUAAUGAUAUUUACAAGUUACAACGUGUCCAUAUCUCUCUCUCUCUCUCUCUCUCUCUCUCUCUCUCUCUCUCUCUCUCCUCCCCGCCCUCUCUCUCUCUAUGUCUCCUCUCCAGCUUCCUCUUACGAUCUCUGUUUCAUCUUCUUAAUUAUAAAAAUAAAUAAAAAAUAAAAAAUCUUAAUAAUCGCCAAUAAAUCAAGUGAAUAGGAAGAAACUAAAAAAUAUAUUUUGAUUAAACAUAAUCACAAUUAGAUUAAUAUGUGCAUUUGUCUUCUAAAUGUUUUUUUUUUUUUUUUUUUUUUGGAAAUUCAAAAUGUUCCUUACAAAAUUUCAUUUGUACUUGAUUAAUACAAUAAUCAAUAUAUUUUUAAUAUAUUAAUCAAUAUAAUAUAUUUUUAUUUACUAUAUUAAUUAAUAUAUUAAUUUAAUAACAAAAACCAAAUUAAAAAAUAUAUAAAUAAACUUUUUUAUUGAAUAUAUUAGCAUAUUUACUCAAGUUCACAUCAACUUUUGUGUUUAAGAUUUUUUGUUUAGCUCAUCAAUUAUUAUUCCAACUAAUUAACACACUUACACACUGAUGAACUUUUUUUUUUUGAACUGGUUAAUACAUUAAUAAGUUUUUUUUUAUUGAAGUGAUUAGUAGCUUAAUCAAUUCUUAGUUCAACUGAUUAAACCUUAAUCACUUUUUAUGCCAACUUAUAAACACAUUGAUCUAUUAUUUUGUUCAACACAUUACUCAACUAUUAUUCAAAUUAAUUAACACAUUAAUUAAUUAACUCAUUUUUAAGUUGAUUACCACAUUAAUUAACUCUUAUUCAACCUGAUUAUCACAUUAAUCAACUCAUAUUUCAAUUAUUUAACACAUUAAUCAACUGUUAUAAAAAUUGAUUAAUGUAUUAAUUAACUCUUAUUACAAUUGAUUAACACAUUAAUCAACUCUUUUUUAACUGAUUAACAUAUUAAAUAACUCAUAUUCGAAUUGUUUAACACAUUCAAUUCCUCUUCCAAUUGAUUAACGUAUUAAUCAACUCUUAUUAUAACAUGAUAAAUACAUUAAGCAACUCUUAUUCCAAUUGAUUAAGAUAUUAAUUAACUCAUAUUCAAAUUGCUUAACACAUUAAUCGAUUCCUCUUCUAAAUGAUUAACGUAUUAAACUUUUAUUACAACUGAUUGUAUAUUAAUCGACUAAGAAAUUUAUAUUUCUUUUUCUGUUCAGUUGAUUAGUAUAUUAAUCAACUAAACACUAGUUGAUUAGUACAUUAAUCAACUCAACAAUAGUCGAUUAUAUAAACUCUAACCCUUAAACUUUAAUGCAAUGUAACUAUACCCUACCCCAAUGAACCCAAGUUGGAAUGCGGUCUUAUGCGACUCUAAUGCAAGGUAAAUAUACCAUAACCCUAAACUUCUAACCCCUAAUCAACAAAAGUAAUAUAUAAAGAGCUUAUUGACACCAAUACUACAUAAGUUGAAUAACAUACUAAUCAAGCUUAGUUGUUAAUCAGAAAAUAAUAUAUGCGGUCUUCUAAAGGGAGUAUGUUGAAUAUUUGUUGAUUAAAAUGUUAAUCAACUCCAAUAUCUGUUGAUUAAUAUGUUAAUCAACCCAUGUGACAGUUUGACACCAUUGUUACAGCUUAUACCAACAUAUAUAACAAUGAAAUAUAAAAGUUUCAUAUACAAGUAAUAUGAUGACAGUUUGAGAUUAUUUUGUCUAUGCACAAAUUUAAUUAAUCACUCAUUGGUUUAUUUACAGAUAGGAUGAGCGACACGGUCUAACGGAAUAGCACGAUCGGAAAAUCAAUAAGCAACUCCACCACCAAAUCCAUCAUGUAGUACACUCUCCUUCAGCCAAUAACCAUCGGUUCUAUUUUUAUUUUUAUUUGAUGAAAUCAUCGGUUCUAUUGGAAUCACCACUCAUCAGAAAAUUUUACUAGAGAAUAACAAGAAAAGGCAAUAGAGUACGUAGAACCAUGGACCAUGAAAUUGAUUUUUUUUUUUUUUUUUCGGCUAAAGGUAUAAAUUUUAUACAUUAGAUUAACCACAAUUACAUUCCUGAACCGCAUACACAAGGUACCGUUAGGUCUAGUCCCAUGGAGAGAUCCCUCCAUUUUUACAUUUUCACAAACAUACAAACCCAAAACACCCCGCAUGGACAGUACAUACAAGCUAAGAAACACAAUAGUAUAAACUGAUCACACUGAGUCCCUGCUUUGCGUAUCGAAUCCUGUUCUUUUCCACAUUGGUUGCACUCUAGAUGAUCUUGCCAACCAAUUAUUGCCUUUAUUCUAACGACAUACCCAUCACAUGAAAACUUUGCAUCGCUGAAAAUUGCAUCAUUGUGCAUACACCAUAGUACUUAUACAGUGGCAUAAGGAAGGAUGGCCCAUAUGCACUUACUGAGUCCCCUUAGAUUCAAUUUAAGCCAAGUGCUUAGACGCAUUUCCACACUAUUCAAUGCCUAAAACAUUCCCCAGACCUGAUUAAGGAUCCCAAGCAAUUGUUUCCUACAUAGGCAGAUUUUCCACACUAUUAUUCACUGUCCUUGCACAAAGUGGACAUAUUAGAUGCUAGAGAUGUACUUUACUUCCAAAAUAUGAUGUUACAUUGUUACCUCUUUCACCCGAAAACAACUCAAGAUCUUCCACUCCUUGUGACCAAGCAAUACCAGGUAGGUUGAAUGAUGGAAAAUCCACAUAAACCGCUCAAACUGCAUGAGUACAAUAACGUCUCACGUAUGAAUAGUAAUUAUGUUUUCUUUUUUGUUGACAGUUAGUAGAUAAUCUAAAUCAAUUGCAAUGGGAAAGAAGGCAAUAACAAAAUGACUAUGUCUGUAUAAAUUCUAUACAUUUGAUCAAUAACAUCGAGAAUGAAUCAUUAAAAUGAAAUGACCUCAAUUUCACAUUAAUUAAAAUUUCUUGUCUAGAAAGCGGCUGCAUUUUCCAGUUAUCAAUCCACAAAAAACGAACGACCGAUCUUAUGAUUACAUACACCAUUGUCAUUCAUAGCAUAGAUAUAUGAUUUCAAAUGAUAUGACUCAACCUGUUGCACAUGGAAUAGGGAGAACCAACAAAGAAGUGUCUCAUUGUAUAAAAUGUUUUGAUGAAGAUGGUGAUAGUGAUCCCAAAUUCCCUUUCAUGGUCAUCAUGAAGAAUAAAAGAGAUAACGCCACAAACAUUUCAAAGAUCAGAUUCUUUCUUUCUGCAAUAGUCAUUAUAAUUAGUAUACUUCUAAGUUUUAAUUUCCCCCAGAAUUUCACGUGUGGAUAUUUAACAUUGUAUAAUGAAAUUUACAUCGUAUAUUCUAUAAACGAUUAUAAUGUAAAACAAAUUAUAUGUAUUAUAUAAAAUCAGAAAACACAGAUAAGAACAAUCCAUAAAUAAAGAUGUGCCUCUAUUCAUAAUGCAUUGUGUGAGAGAGAUAUAAGCUUCAAAAUUAUCAUAAAAAAUAUUCCUAACAAUAGUGCAAUGUUGUUGUAGAAAAACUUAGUAGCUAUCCUUUGUAAACAAAACUAUUCUUGAUUUCCAAUAAAGAACUGUAUCUUAAAAGGGGUAAGGUAGAUCAUUUCAAUUGGAAUGCUUAAGAUGACACCAGUUCUAUGGUGUUAAUCACUAUUCUUUAGUCUAUUGAAAUAUUGUAUCUUCCCUUUGUGGUUUUGUGCUUUGAUAUAGUUUCACUUAUCUUUCUACUUCUUCUCGAAUUACUCUUUAUUUACUAGCAUUAAAUCAAUAAAACAACUAAAAAAAUAAUUUUUAUACCAAUUACCAACUUACCAAGCUGUUGCACAAUAAAACAUUGAAUUGUCAAAUCAAACCAAACAAAACACUACAGAAUGCCAACCAUUAAGAUUCAAUCAAUUACAUAAAUCUCAUUGAUUAGGUAUUUUAAAUUUUACCUUACAGCUGAUGUUCCAACCAGUUCCUUUACAAACAAAAAGUCCACUCCCUUAUGAGCGACAGAGCGAGGUCAAAUUUACGUUGGACGAUCAAUUCCAUAAUUUUCAAUUUGAAAGUGGUAAUCACGAAAACAAAAUUUCCCCUUAUUAAUCAGUCUUUUGAAGCGAAAAGUAGAGAUCAACGAAACAUGAGCGAGGAUAUCUAUUGGAAGCAAUACGAGAAGAAAAUCGGGCAGAGAAGAAAACCCAAAUCUAUGUUCGCGGGGGCAGUUAUGGUAUUAUAAGAAUUUUGUGGAGGCAAUGGUACGCGGUUUUGUCCUGGAAACUAAGAGUUUUCUGUAUAAUUGGACUUAACUAACAGUGAACUACUAACCCGUGUCCUUGGGCCAGCCAAACUUAAGCCUAAGACUAAAACCGAAACAAACAUCUCUAACUGGACUUGGGACGAGUUUUAUUAGCAAGCAGCAAAUUGGGCCAAAGGACCAAAUAUAAGGUUUCAUUAUCCAAAAGGACAACACAAACGUUUCAUUGACCAAAAGGACAACAACUGCGAUAUGACGCAUGUACCCUUCAAAAAAUUUAAUAUAUGAGAAACCGAUUUACGGUUACUCUACAGCUGUCCGAAACAGUGGUUACGAAAAUAGAAAAUAAUGGUAGGAUUCUCUCUCCUAACAACGGUGGUAUUCUGUCUGGUAAUCAAAACCCCAAAUUUUUUAAAAAACAUAUCAUCUAUAAUCUCUAAAACCCCAAAUUUCUAGGGUGUCUCUAAAUCUUUUAGGAAAUCUUUUCGGUUUCUCUAAAAUCGCUUCUGUUUCUCUUCGAUUUUUCUAAAUCUCCGGUUUCUCUAAUUACUUUGGUUCACAAAUUCUUUUUCUUGCUGCUUGCUUGUUUUUCUUUUCCGAUACUGUUCUUCAAAUUUGUAUAAUGGCAAGAAGCAAAUCACGUACAAGAACUGGUCCUUGGUACAAAAAGGACAAGCAAUAGGCGGUCAAAUAACUGAAAAUAACAACAACGUUUGCAAUAAUUUUCACUUUUAACAAUGUAUUGCAGAUCAUGACAACCAAGUGAAUUUUCAUUACACCCGAUAACAACCAUGUUUUGCUCCGGUAGCUGAAGCUGAUGAUGACCUGUCCACGUGGCAAUUGUAGAAUUGAACUAUCAAUAAAAAUAAAAACACACACACACACAUAAUUAAUAAUAUGAUUUAGGUCAUAAAAUUGUAUUAUGAUUUAUCAUUGUAUUUGAGAGAAUCAAUUUUGUUAAUAUAUUACUAUAAUUAAAAAUCCCUAAAUUUACAUAAAAAAUUUACAUACUUUAGUCACAAACCCUAAUUUGAUAAUAAUAUAUAAUGCUAUAUUAUUGUCCUUGAUAUAAUACUUUUUAUUUAAUUACGUGUAUUUUUUUUUAAUUUUUUAUUGAUAUAUCAGCUUAUACAAUUACCACGUGGACCGAUCACCGGCUUCCGGUACCGAAAGAAAACAUAGUUGUACCGGAAGAAAACAUAGUUGUUAUCGAGUGUAAUGAAAAUUCACUUCGUUGUUAUGAUUUGCAAUACAAUGUUAAAAGUGAAAAUUGUUGCAAACGUUGUUGUCAUUAUUAGUUAUUUGAAGCACAAGAACAAGCAAGCAGCAAUGAUUACGAAUCUGAAGUAAAUUUCUUGUUUUUUUGUUACUAAGCAAAAACUCAUGAUUUUGAUGUAAAUCUCAUAUCAUUGCUUUUCAAAAUUAGGAUUUUUUGUUGUAAAUCUCAUAUCAUUGAUUUUGAUGUAAAUCAUGAAAUUUCUUGUUUUCAAAAUUAGGAUUUUUUGUUUUAAUAACUUCUCUAGAUUUUUUGUUUUAAUAAAAUAGUUGAGUAAUGUAUUAAUCAAGCCUUAGUUUACAUUAUCAUUCUGUAUAGUUGAUUAAUACAUUAAUCAACCUAACAAAUAGUUGAAUAAUGUAUUAAUCAAGCCUUAGUUUACAUUAUCAUUUUGUAUAGUUGAUUAAUACAUUAAUCAACCCAACAAAUAGUGGAAUAAUGUAUUAAUCAAGCCUUAGUUUACAUUAUCAUUCUGUAUACAUUAAUCAACUCAAUAAAAUAGUUGAAUAAUAUUUUAAUCAACAUUUAUUUCAAAUCAUCAUUCUGUAUAGUUGAUUAAUACCUUAAUUAACUCAUUGAAUAAUAUAUUAAUCAACACUUAGUUUACAUUAUCAGAAUGAUGAUUUGAAAUAACUUUAAGGGUUAAUAUGGUAAGGUUUUUAAACUCUUUGGUUGAUUAAGGUAUUAAUCAGCAAUGGCUUUUGUUGAUUAAUAUAUUGAUCAUUUUCUGUCCUUCCCAAAUUCUUUAUUUAGACUUCAAGUGAACUGAAUGUUAAUGAUUACUAUAUUCAGGAGAGUGCACCUGAACAGCCAGAAUCACCAUCUCAUCAAGAAAGGGCACCUGAACAACCAUAGUCAUCAUCUCGAAAACGGAAGAGAAACGAUGAUGGUGUUGCUGCAAAAAUACCAUCACGUAAAUACUUGACAAGAUCAUCAGCCACAAGAUCAUCAGCCAAAAAAUCAAAGAAACCAAAACCAGCAGCGAAAAAGACCAAGAAGAAUAGCAAAACAAAAACAAAAUGUUGGAUCUCCAAAGAAGAAGAAGAAGGAUAAUUCAUUCUUCAGAUGUUCCCUGGACCCGCUUAGAAGUUUAGCAUCAACGAUAAAGAACAAGAUGAGUGUUGAACAUCUGCAAUUUCUAAAGGGCACAACAUUUGGAAAUCUAUACAAUCUUAUGCAUUCUGGAAUGAUUGAACCGUGGAAGCCGAAGAAUGAAUCGUUUAGAACAGCCGUGUUUUGCAUUCUCGAUUGCUACUCACCAGAAGAUUGUGGUUUUAGGAUUGGGAAUGAGAUGGUCAAGUUUAGAGUUGAAGAUGUGGCAGUUCUAUUUGGCUUGAAGGGUUAUGGCGAGAUCAUUGAACAAAAAGCACGUAGUACUGACAAGCAUCGCAAAAUCGAUGUCAUCAGUAACAACUUUAAUGAGGAUAUCAACGAUUUUGCGAAGGAUAAGGUGAUGAACAAGAUUCUAACAUUAGUGGAUGAAGAUGGACACAAGAAGGAAGACCUUGGAUUCCUCAUCAUCAUCUACAUGUUCAUCACCGUAUUCUUCGCAAAUUCAGCGAGCAAGGCUUUAUGGAAUCACUUGAAUCAUCUUGAAAGCUUGAAAGGGAUGAAUUAUGUUAACUGGGCAGAGGCUGUUCAUUUCUUCCUUGUAAACAAGUUGAAUGAAAAUCAUCAGAGGAAAAACUUGCCAAUAGGACACAAAAAACGGUAAGAAGGAAAUGUGGUUAUGAGUGGAUGCACACUAGUACAACUGGUAAGUAAAGCUACAUGUUAGUUUAAUUUAUUUCUAUUUCAUCAACUUUAGUCUUGUUUAUUAAUCAAAAUUCUCUAUUUUUCAAAUGCAGUAUUGGUUAUGUGAACAUACCUACAUCAUUCCCAAGAUUCAAGGAAGAGAAGAGAUCUCUCCAAGGGUUGCAAGGUGGGACAUGAAACAUGUCAUGAUGAAGGUUCUAGAAAAUCCCACACUCAACUGGGAAGGAAUGCAGGUACAUUUUCUUUUCUGUUUGGUUGUUUAGUAUAUUAAUCAUUUUUUCUGUUUUAGUUACAUAUUGUUAAUUAUUUACAUGUUUUUCUCCUUCUGUUCUGUUUAGUUGAUUAAUAUGUUAAUCAACUUCACUAUUAGUUGAUUAACAUAUUAAUCAACUCCACUAUUACUUGAUGAAUAUUAAUCAACUUUUUGAUUAAUAUGUUAAUCAACUCCACUAUUAGUUGAUUAACAUAUUAAUCAACUCCACUAUUAGUUGAUGAAUAUUAAUCAACUUUACAAAUAGUUGAUUCAUAUGUUAAUCAACUUUAUUUAUUUAUAAUAUUGGUUCUUUUGAUUAUAAAGUUGUUAUGUCUAUUAAGACAGUAGAACAUACCAUGCCAAUUAAUGGAAAUAAAAAAUCUAUUCCUUUAAUAACUGAACAAGAUAUUAUCAGAUAUCGUCAAAAUUACCAUUAUAUCCAUAUAGGAUUAAUUCAGAUUGCAGUAAAACCUUUACACCUAAAAGGAAUCGAUUGUUGUUUUCUUCUGGCCCUUAGGGAUGCUAGGUGUGUCAAUUAUCAGAAAUCCUUGAUGGGUAUUAUGGAGUCCACCACUAGUAAUGGACCAGUUUACUGUAAUAUAUAUCCUAAUCUAGAAUUAUCUUUAUCUGAUGAUAAUAUUAUGCAAAGUGUUAUGAUGGACCUUGAUACUAAAGGAUAUGUCAUAUGUUAAUCAACUUUACAAAUAGUUGAUUAAUAUGUUAAGGGGUAUUUUGCAUUUGGUCCCUCUAGAAGAUGGUAAUUAACAUUUGGUCCAAUCUUUAUCGUUUAUUAGUAAAUUGUCCUUUUUCGUCACUUGACUGUCAGUCAACCUAGUUGACCAGAGUCAAGGCAUCCAUAUUUUCUGAAUGACCAAACUACCCUUCACGUGACUAGCACGUGAUAAAACUUAAAACUCAAAAAAAUAAAUUUAGUUGAUUGUAAACAUGCAAAAUUAGUUUAUAGUCCUUCAUAUUUCGUUUUAAAUAUAGUCCCUAUAAACAGUAAUGGAAAUAACCAUGGAAGUUAUCUUACCUUAGUUGGAGACUUGGAGUGAAGUACAACAUAUAACCACCACCCAUGGAACCUCUAGAAGUUUAUUCUCUUGUUUACAAGUGAAGAUGACAAUCAAGUGAAGAAAAUUCUAGACAUUCCAUGGGUGGUGGUUAUAUGUUCAAGUUCAAUCCGGUAAGAUAACUUCCAUGGUUAUUUCCAUUACUGUUUACAGGGACUAUAUUUAAAACGAAAUAUGAAAAAUGAGGACUAUAAACCAAUUUUCUGUUGUUUGCACGAUCCUGGUGAGAGUGGAUAUGGUGCUGUGGAGGGAGGAUGCCGUGACGUGAAAGGGUAGUUUGGUCAUUAAGAAAAUAUGGAUGUCUUGACUCUGGUCAACUGGGUUGACUGACAGUCAAGUGACGGAAAAGGGAUCAUUUACUAAGAAACGAUAAAGAUUGGACCAAAUACUAAUUACCCAUCUUCUAGAAGGACCAAAUACAAAAUAACCCAUAUGUUAAUCAACUCCACUAUUUGUUGAUAGUUGUAUUAAUCAACAAACACUAGUCUUUGAUAAUUGUAUUACAUGUUUUGAUUUACUUACAGGUGAUCAAAGAGCUUUCUGAAUUCAGUGAUGAAGAGAAAAAAUUGAUAGAACCAAGUACGAAUGAAGUUGAAGAAGAAACUGAUGAUUUAGCUACUGAGAAUCAGCGGCUAAGAGAAGAAAAUGAAGAACUGAAACGUGUGAUUCAGCAGUUACAAGCUGAAAUAGAAAAGCUGAAAAAUAAGGAUGAUGA
rnacentral:lncRNA from 1 species